AACUUAUAUUCACUGGUGGAGACAGGUGGUUACCGACCAGGGAGUGUGUGGAGCCUCCGCGGAGGAGCGAGGUGCGGAGGUAGGGCGAUGACAUGUUUGCAAGGUCUGCGCUGCUUCUGCUUAUGCUCAUGGUUGAUGAGUUUCUGAAAGGUCUUUGGGUGUUGAGAGAGUGCGGGGUUCCGGAAGCAGAGUAGACCCGAGAUAUGGACUGCGACGAAGGACGCCGGUGUUGGGGCUGGACAGCAACAAUGCGCUGCACAAAUUCACCAACACGGCAAAUAUGCACACUACACAGCCCCCUCCACUUGUGAUGAACUUUGAGGACAGCUUCAACCAACAAGUAAGCAGCGGAAUAACACAAACAACAUGCACAAGUGACACAGGAUUUAACGUGAAAAAACCUCCUCAACUUGAGGAGUAAAAAACCACGGCUGUGGACCGACCGGUCCACGCAACUUCACUAUGAGAAUAAUGAGUACAAAGUCUUCUCUAGAACCUCUAGAGAGAUUUACAACACACUCUCCACGUUGCCAAUCGGCAACAGCAACAACAACCACAAAAAGUAAGAUUUCAGCAAAGCAGAGUUUACACAGCUUCUGUAUCCUUCAGUGUUUUGCAAACUGCUCUUAAACCGCUGAACCAAACAUCAUCAAAUUUGGCAGACAAGUAGACACACGAGUUCCUCAAAUUCCCUCCAAAUUUCAGCUCAAUCGGACAUCGUUUGCCUAGCCAAACUGUUCGUCUCCUAAAACUACUCUGUUCUGAAACUGCAGCAGUCAGAGCUGACAAAACCACUCUCAAAUCUGAUGCUCCACUGACCCAAUCCUCAAACCAGCUAACGAGAUCGAAGUGCUCAAAGUAAGGAACGAGCUCACCAAGUUUGGGGUCAAUCCAAGCACGUUUGAGCCUCCAACCACCAACUUGAACACUGUCUAGUCAGAUGCAGCAAAUCUGGACAGAACCUCUGCUUCUUCUUCUUCCUCUCUCUCAGGUUGUGUUUUCUCUUGUGUGUUCUCUCUCACACUCUCAUGAAUGGCAGCCACCACCAGCAGAGGUGGAGUGGCUAGGGUUUUCUCCUUGCCUCACUUCCCUUAGAAGCGCUCUCAACCGUUGGAUGCAGCGAAUAUCAACGGCUGACAUGUGUUGGACUUAGGGGCUGAUGUUGGGCUGCCAACACACCUCCAUGUGGAGGGACUUAGCCCAACAAACUCCCCCUCCCGACAUCAUGGAGGGUCUCACUGCCUUCCGGCAGCCAUGCCAGCGAGCCGGCGGCAUACUUCAAGCUUCUUCCUUGUCACCACUUUAGUCAACAUAUCAGCCCCAUUGUCAUCGGUGUGAACCUUCUCAAGUUGCAUUUUCUUGGAAUACAACACAUCUCGAAUCCAAUGAUAACAGACUUCUAUAUGCUUAGACCUUGAAUGAAAACUUGCAUUCUUACUCAAGUGGAUAGCACUUUGGUUGUCACAAAACAACACAUACUUGUCUUGCUUAAAACCAAGCUCACAAGCCAACCGUUUCAGCCACAAUAGCUCUUUGCUCGCCUCUGUUACAGCAAUGAAUUCAGCUUCAGUUGUAUUCAGUGCCACACACUUUUGCAGCCUGCUUUGCCAUGACACCGCUCCCCCUGCAUAUGUAACCAAGUAACCUUAAGUAGACUUCCUUCUGUCAACAUCUCCAGCCAUGUCAGAAUCUGAAAAAGCAAUCAGCUUGGCCUCACCGUCACCGAAGCAAAGUUUCAGAUUUGUGCUGCCCCGAAGAUAUCUCAAAAUCCACUUCACGGCUUCCCAAUGAGGUCUUCCUGGAUUGGACAUAAAUCUGCUCACAGUACUAACCGCAUGAGCAAUUUCAGGCCUUGUACACACCAUAGCAUACAUCAAACUCCCAACCGCUUAAGCAUAAGGAACAUGAUGCAUUUCCUUUUUCUGCUCAUCAGUGGUAGGACAUUGCUUUCUGCUCAACUUAAAAUGGGCUGCUAGUGGACAACUCACAACUUUAGCAUUUUCCAUCCUGAACUUCUGAAGUACCUUCUCAAUAUACUUCUCUUGAGACAAGUACAACUUGUUGCAAUUUCUGUCUCGCUCAAUUCUCAUUCCGAGAAUGUUCUUUGUUGGACCUAAGUCUUUCAUAGCAAAACAUUUGCUCAACUCCUUCUUCAACUUAGCAAUCCUAGAGACAUUCUUGCCAACAAUCAGGAUAUCAUCAACAUAGAGCAAUAAUAUGAUGAAAUCAUCACCUGAGAACCUCUGAAUAAACACACAAUGGUCUGAGCCACACUUCUUGUAGCCUUGCUCCCCCAUGACAGUUUCAAACUUCAUGUACCAUUGUCUUGGUGCUUGCUUCAGGCCAUAGAGACUUUUCUUCAGCUUGCACACAUAGUCGUCUUUGCCUUUCACAAGAAACCCCUCAGGUUGCUCCAUGUAUAUUUCUUCCUCCAACUCACCAUGAAGGAAUGCAGUCUUCACAUCCAUUUGCUCAACCUCCAAGUUGAGACUUGCUGCCAUGCCAAGGAUUACUCUUAUGGAUGUCAUCUUCACAACUGGAGAAAAGAUCUCAUCAUAGUCAAUGCCUUUUCUCUGGCCGAAUCCUUUUACAACUAGCUUGGCCUUGUACCUUGGAUGUGAUGUGUGCUCUUCUUGCUUGAUUCUGUAGACCCACUUGUUCUUCAUAAUUUUCUUGCCCUUGGGCAACUUCACCAACUCAUAAGUAUGAUUCUUAUGCAAGGAAUCCAUCUCUUCUUGCAUAGCCUUUUUCCACUCCUUCUUGUGCUCAUCUUCCAUUGCAUGUGCAAAGCAUUCAGGUUCUGAACCGUCAGAUAAUAACACCACAUAUUGAUCUAAGGGAUACCUGCUGGAAGGAAUUCGACCCCUAUUGGAUCUUCUGAGUGGAGCAGCUGGUGGACUUUCUGGUGCUGGUGCUUCCUGCUGAUCCGGAUCAUCAACUUCAGCAUCAUACUCUUGCUGCUGCUGUUGGGGAGCUUCUUCUUCACCUGCACCACCAUGUACAUCACCAUGUACAUCUUCUGCAUCUGCUUCAACUUGCACAGGAGCUAGAGCUGCAGGAACUGGGUCAGAAUCAAUCAUGGCUUGCUGCUGGUGAGGAGGAACCUGUCCCUUUGUCUUCACAAUAUCCUCAAUUGUUUGGUCUUCAACAAACACAACAUCACGGCUUCUCACAACUUUCCUUGCUAUAGGGUUAAACAGCUUGUAGCCAAACUCAUCACCACCAUAGCCAAGAAAGAUACACUGUCGUGUCUGUAAGGGCAUAUUUAUCCCUAAGAUGUUUUGGUGAUUGAUGACAAUGCUUUUGCGGACUAAUCGUGUGCAUUGAGUGUUUUCAUAGAUUCAUCCUUUUGGCACGAGACGAUUCCCUCCCCUCGGAGCUUGAAGCGAAGACGGUGUAGUCCUUUCGAAUUAGUUUGGUGGACUAGUUUCAUAGGGAUCACCGUACUAUCAAGAGGGGGUCCGCUUUGGAAAGGCUAGGGCGGAAUCAUCACGUACACUUCCUUUGCCCCCCUCCGAGCCUUUCCGCUUCUAUGAUGGGCUCGUUCCUCUUAUCAGUGUGCCCUCUCUGGUCCCAGCAGUAGUACCGCGGGCCGGAGCGGUAGUACCGCUUGGGUGCUAUAAGCGGUAGUACCGCGCCAGAGCGGUAGUACCGCUCUGGAGCGGUAGUACCGCUGGUAGCCCCCAGCCGUAGUACCGCUGCGGUCUCGUGCUAGUACCGCCUCGAUUCGAGGGGUCUUUUUUCGUGUCGGGUUUUACGGUACUAGCCGCGACAGUGGGGGCCGUAGUACCGCUCGUUUGCGGUAGUACCGCCCUGCCACCGCGGUAGUACUGCUCUGGGCCCAGCGGCAGUACCGCGAGGGGGAGCGGUAGUACCGCUUAUAGGGGCAAGCGGUAGUACCGCUGGCCAAGCGGUAGUACCGCUCUCUGCAGGGCUGAAGUGGGGGCAACGGUUGGAUUGUUCCCCACUCUAUAUAAGGGGGUCUUCUUCCCCAAAGUUGACAUACCUCUUCCCCCAAAAGCUCCAUUGUUGCUCCAAGCUCCAUUUUCGCUCGAUCUCUCUCCCUAGCCAAUCAAACUUGUUGAUUUGCUCGGGAUUGGUUGAGAAGGCCACGAUCUACACUUCCACCAAGAGAAAUUUGAUUCCCCCACUUAUCCCUAGCGGAUAUUGUUACUCUUGGGUGUUUGAGCACCCUAGACGGUUGAGGUCACCGCGGAGCCAUAGUCCAUUGUGGUGAAGCUUUGUGGUGUCGUUGGGAGCCUCCAAUUAAGUUGUGGAGAUUGCCCCAACCUUGUUUGUGUAAAGGUCCGGUCGCCGCCUUCAAGGGCACCAAUAGUGGAAUCACGGCAUCUCGCAUUGUGUGAGGGCGUGAGGAGAAUACGGUGGCCCUAGUGGCUUCUUGGGGAGCAUUGUGCCUCCACACCGCUCCAACGGAGACGUACUUCCCCUCAAAAUGAAGGAACUUCGGUAACACAUCCUCGUCUUCACCGGCUCCACUCUUGGUUAUCUUGUCCCUUUACUUUCGCAAGUUUACUCGUGUUAUAUCUCUUAUUUGCUUGCGUGCUUGUUGUCAUUGCAUCAUAUAGGUUGCUCACUUAGUUGCAUAUCUAGACAACCUAUUUUGAUGCAAAGUUUAAUUUGGUAAAGAAAAGCUAAACAUUGUUAGUUGCCUAUUCACCCCCCUCUAGUCAACUAUAUCGAUCCUUUCAAUUGGUAUCAGAGCCUCGUCUCUUUUUAAGGACUUUACCGUCCGAAGAGUAUGGUUGACGUCGUAGACGGUGUGGAGGAGCACUCCGGUGUGAAUUUGGUCUCGUCUACGGGAGAUGGGGAACCGCGGUCUCUCAUGAGGAAUUAAAUGUGGCGUUGGACACAUUGAAAACCUCCAUGACUACCGAGGUCGAAAGCAUGUUUAAUAAAUACUUAGAAGGGCUUAAGCUUUCCACCGCACCGUUGAAAGUGGGUGAUCCCGCCUACAAGGUGACGGAUGCUACCUCCGACAAAGGGGAAGCUACUAGCGAGAAAGCUCCUUCUUCUAGUGGUAAAAAGGGCACCGGCAUCUUUGCCCAUGUGGAACCUCCACCUGUCUAUGGUGGACCGCUCCCUUCCACUCAUUUGAAUCAUGCCGGCCCGGCUCCUAAGAUUGAGAAGAAUGUAGAUUUUGAUUCUUGGGUCUAUCGUUUUAAGCGUCAUUUAAAUCAUGUGAACACUAACCUUUAGAGAAUCAUUGAAGAAGGUUUCUAUCCGCAUGACCGAAGUAACUUCACUCCUAGAGAAGUUGUGGAUCGUCAAUUCAAUGAGAAUGCUCUCUUCAUCAUCCAAGAAGCAAUCCCACCCGAAAAUCUUCCUCAUCUCCGGCCUUACACCGUGGCCAAAGAUGCUUGGCUCCCAAGUUGUUUCCCUCUAUCGGGGAAGCGUAAGCAUUCAACGCUCCAACUAUGAAGUGGUGCAAGAUGAAGCCGGCGAGUUUGCAAUGAAAGAAGAUGAAGAACCUCGUGAGCUUUUUCGGAGAGUAACCAAACUCGCGGUCUCUCUCCGAGAUCAUGGAAGUAAGGACACGGAUGACAAUUGGAUCAAGCACAAAUUCCUCAAGGCAGUGAUGCCCUACCACAAAGCCAUGUCCUCCGUAAUUCGUCAAAGGCCGGACUUCCACACCUUGUCGUCAAGUGAAGUGUUGGAUGAGUUUGUUGCUAUGAGCAUCUUGGACAAGACCGCCGACAAUGCGGUUCUUCGCUCUCAAAGAGUAAAGAAGCCCAACCUUGCUCUAAAGGCCAAGGUUAGUAUGGAGGAAGAAGAUGAAGAGGAAGAAGAGGAGGGCAACCUCGAAGAUACGAAGUAUGCCUAUCAUGAACACAUGGCUCUUGCUUCAAGGCAAUUUUGGAGCAAGAAGAACACGAGGCCAAACUUCAACAAGAGCAAUUCAAGUGGCGCAAAGGGCAAGCAACGAGUGAGAACUUGCUUCAAUUGUGGCAAUGUGAGCCACUUUGUUGCGGAGUGCCCUUAUGAGAAGAGGGAAGACAAUGGUGGCAAGCUCAUUAGAAAGGACAAGGCCAAGUCGUUCCCCAACAAGAGCAACUUCACCAAGAAGACUCCUCCCAAGGCAUUAGUGGUACAAGAAGAGUACAACGAGGAUGAUGACGAUGAUGAAGAUGGUGAGUCGGUUGCCAUGGCCUCCGUUGCCAUUGCGAAGACUCCACGGAUGUCUCUCUUCGACUCACCCAAUGAGAAUAUCACCGCCAAGUGCCUCAUGGCUAAAGCCACCAAUAAGGUAACCUCCAACAUCAAAACUACCAUCAUUAAUCAUCCUUCUUCGACGGAUAGCAUUGAUGAACAUGAGGGGACAAAUGUGGAGGAAAAUGAGUUUGAGACCUUUAUGGGUAAACUCAAGGGUAAAUCCAAGAAGCACUUCGUUGCUCUCUUGGAACAACUUGGUGAAGCCAAUGACAUGAUCGAGGCUCACGAAGAUACCAUCUCUAAGAUGGAGGGGCAUAGUCGUGACUAUGCCGAUGAGAUUUCGGAUCUUUCCAAUGCUCUUGACGAAGAGCGUGGUCUUAGUUUGGCUCUUGAGGAGUCAUACAACGAUGAUCAUGCUAAGUUAAAGAAAGAUCUUGAUCAUGCUCUUGUUGUGUCUCGUGUGCUAAACUCCGAGAAGGAAAAACUUGGGGUUGAUCUUGCUAGACUUAAAGAGGAGUUUGACAUUCUCGACAAGGCUCACAAAGUCUUGAAGGGCGUUCAUGCUAGCCUCAAGGAGUCUCAUGAUCAACUCCUAGUAAAUCUAACUAAGGAGAAAGCCACCUUUCCUCAUAUGGUGUUAAUUGAUAAUGCAAAUGCUACUAACCCUUGUUGUGAGCAUGUGCAUCUUGUUGAGGAGAAUGCUAAGUUGAAGGAGCAACUUGAGAAAGGCCUUGUGUCAUGCAUACAAGGUGAGAAGAACCUCAACGACCUUUUGAGAAACCAAAAGGAAGUUGUGGCCAAGGAGGGGAUUGGGUUCGCACCCAAGCCCAAGAACAAGAAGAAGAAUGACAAGACCAAACGACCUCCCCCUCUCAAGCAAACUUUUGUGAAGGAGGGAGAGGGUACUUCCAAGGAGAAGAAGAACAGUGCGAAGGGUGACGGUGUCAAGAAGGGCAAUACCACCCCAUCCAACAAAGCCGGCGACUUUAAUCCUUCUUAUGUGUUAUGCCGUGCAAGUGAUGGGCAUGUUUAUGCCAAAUUUGUUGGUUCUCCUCAUGAGUAUAUUGAAUGGUCCAUUUGGGUUCCUAAGACCCUUGUUACUAACAUCAAAGGACCCAUUACAAAAUGGGUACCUAAAACCAAGCAUUGAUCUCUUGUAGGUGUUUGCUUCCGGUGGGGGAUCAUGGUUUCUCGAUAGUGGAGCUACAAAUAAUAUGACCGGAAGCAAGGACUUGGUGGUGGACGUGCACAAGAUUCCAUCUAUGCCCACCAAUGUCGAGUGGGGUGAUGCCUCGUCUUCUAAGGUAUUGGGACUCGGCAAAGUUGUCAUUUCUCAUGAUCUCACGAUCGAGAAGGUCAUGCUAGUUGAGUCCCUUGCAUACAAUUUACUUUCCGUUCGUCAACUUGCUACCAUGGGCUUUGCCACUUUAUUUGAUAUUGAUACCGUGGCCCUCUUGUGGAGCAAGACUCUUAAAGUAGCCUUUGUUGGGCAUGUCGAGAACGGUCUCUAUGUGAUUAACUUUUCGGAGCGACCAACUAAGACCGCGACAUGCCUAAUGGCUAAAGUUGACGUGGGAUGGCUUUGGCAUCGCCGUUUAGCCCAUGUCAAUAUGAGAUCUUUGCAAAGUCUUCUCAAGGGGGACCAUGUCCGUGGACUAACGAACGUUAGUUUUGCUAAAGAUCGUGCUUGCAGUGCUUGUAUCGAAGGAAAGCUUCAUGAGAAGGCUCACCCUCCCACGACUCUCAUUUACUCGAAGAGGCCUUUGGAGCUCCUUCAUUUGGAUCUCUUUGGGCCUCCAUCCUUUGAUAGUCUUGGGGGUAGAAAGUAUUGCUUGGUAAUUGUGGAUGACUAUUCAAGAUACACUUGGGUGUAUUUCUUCAAGAGGAAGAGUGAGACCCAACAAACCGUCAUUGACUUUGCAAAUCAAACCCAACGUCAACACAAUGCAAAGAUCUUGACAAUAAGAAGUGACAAUGGCACUGAGUUCAAGAACUACACCUUGGAUGAGUUUCUUAGUGAUGAGGGGAUCAAGCAUCAAUAUUCCGCACCUUACACCCCUCAACAAAAUGGUGUUGCGGAGAGGAAGAACCGGACGUUGAUGGAUGCGGCAAGGACCAUGAUGGCGGAGUUCAAGUCUCCAUACAACUUUUGGGCCGAAGCCAUCAACACCGCGUGUCAUGCUUCAAAUCGGCUCUAUCUCCGCAAAGGCUUGAACAAGACUCCAUAUGAGAUACUCACCGGUAACAAGCCCAACCUCAAGUACUUUCGGGUGUUCGGGUGUAAGUGUUUCAUUCUCAAGAAAGGUGUUCGUUUCUCUAAAUUUGAGACUAGAGCUCAUGAGGGCAUAUUUGUUGGUUAUGCUACAAACUCCCAUGCUUACCGUGUUCUCAAUAAGUCCACGGGACUUAUUGAGGAGACGUGUAACGUGGAGUUUGAUGAGAAUAACGGCUCCCAAGUGGAGCAAAGUGGUACUUGUGAUGUAGGUGAUGAAAUUCCUCCCCAAGCCAUAAGAAGAAUGGGUGUUGGUUAUAUCCUACCCAUUGAGGAACCCCUUGUGGCCGAAGGAGAAGGACAAUGCUCCACUCAAGUGGAGCCAUCACCAACCCAAGACCCACACGCUUCCGAAGAACAAAGUGAAGGCCCUCAACCUCAUGAACAAGAUCAAGGGCAAGAUCAACCUCAAGAUGGUGAUGAUCCACCAAAUGAUGCCCAAGGUUAAGUCCUCCCCCUCGAGCAAGUUCAAGAUCAAGAACAAGCUCAAGACGACACUCAAGAUGAUCAAGUAACCCCUCCUCAUUUCACUUCCGAGGAGGAAUUGGAGCGUCGUGCCGCUAAGAUCGCUUCCAAGCUCACCACCAAAGGUCAUCUCAUGGAGAAUGUGGUUGGAAGCCUAAGAAAGGGGGUAAGCACUCGUAGACAAUUAGCAAACUAUUGUGAACAUCAUGCGUUUGUCUCUUGUGUCGAACCCCAAAAGGUUUAUGAAGCGCUCGAGGACCCGGAUUGGCUCAAUGCCAUGCAUGAAGAACUCAACAACUUCGAACAUAACCAAGUGUGGAAAUUAGUGCCAAGGACAACCGGGAACCAUAAUGUCAUUGGAACCAAGUGGAUAUUCAAGAACAAGCAAGAUGCUCAUGGGAUCAUUGUUCGCAACAAGGCUCGUUUGGUGGCACAAGGCUACUCCCAAGUCGAGGGUAUCGACUACGGUGAAACCUUUGCCCCCGUCGCUCGCCUUGAAUCUAUUCGUUUGUUGAUUGCUUAUGCUUCUCAUCAUAAUUUCACGUUGCAACAAAUGGAUGUGAAGAGUGCUUUUCUUAAUGGUCCCAUAAAUGAGUUGGUAUAUGUCAAACAACCCCCCAGGUUCAAAGAUCCCUAUUUCCCCGAUCAUGUGUAUCAACUCCACAAGGCACUCUAUGGCCUUAAACAAGCCCCACGUGCGUGGUAUGAGCAUCUUAUGGAGUUGUUACAAGAUCGUGGAUUCGAAAUCGGGAAAAUCGACCCCACUCUUUUUACUAAGAAGGUCAAAGGGGAGUUGUUUGUGUGCCAACUAUAUGUUGAUGAUAUUAUUUUUGGUUCCCCUAACAAAGCCUUCAAUGAAGAAUUUGCCGCUCUCAUGACCUCAAAGUUCAAGAUGUCUAUGAUGGGAGAGUUGAAGUUCUUUCUCGGAUUCCAAAUCAAACAAAGAAGAGAAGGAACCUUCAUCAACCAAGCCAAAUACACUCAAGACAUGCUAAAGAGAUUCAAGCUAAGUGAUGUCAAGCCGGCUUCCACUCCAAUGCCCACCAAGUGCCAACUUGACAUUGAUCCCAAUGGUAAAGCGGUGGAUCAAAAGGUAUAUCGCUCCAUGAUUGGAUCCUUGCUUUACCUUUGUGCAUCUAGACCGGAUAUCAUGUUGAGUGUGGGAAUAUGUGCACGGUUUCAAGCCGCACCUAAGGAAAGCUACUUUGUGGCGGUCAAGCGAAUCUUUCGAUAUUUGGCUCAUACCCCAAACUUUGGCUUAUGGUACCCAAGAGGAGCAAACUUCAAGCUUGUAGGUUAUUCGGACUCUGAUUGGGCGGGAGACAAAGUGGAUAGGAAGUCCACUUCCGGAGGGUGCCAAUUUCUUGGUUGCUCUUUGGUAAGUUGGUCUUCUAAAAAGCAAAGUUGUGUGUCUCUCUCGUCCACCGAAGCGGAGUAUGUGGCGGCCGGGAGUUGUUGUGCACAACUCUUAUGGAUGAGGCAAACUUUAAAGGAUUACGGUGUCAUUUGUGACAAAGUGCCUCUUUGGUGUGACAAUGAAAGUACUAUCAAGAUUUCUCUCAACCCGGUGCAACACUUCAAGACAAAGCAUAUUGAGAUUCGGUAUCACUGCAUCCGGGAUCAUAUUAGGCGAGGGGAGAUCGAGCUCAACUAUGUCAACACUCAUGAUAACCUUGCAGAUAUUUUCACGAAGCCAUUGGAUGAAGCAAGAUUUCGCGAGUUAAGGCAUGAGCUAAAUAUCAUUGAUUCGAGCAAUGUGGUUUGAACCUUUGCACAUCCCUCACAUUCAUCAUGCAUUCUUGUCUAGGUGUAGGCAUGGACUUAGGGGGAGUGUUGUUCUCUCAAUGAACUCUUCCUCCCCCCAUAAUGCAUAAACUAAUCUCACUCUUUCACAUUAGCCAUUUUUUAUGGUACUUGUGCUUCAAAGACGAGCUUUGGUCAUGGGCCCAAGGAUAAUUCUUCGCGGUGCCAUACCAAUUGACUCAAACAUAGGUGGCCUCGGCCACCGCCCUCUCGUAUAGAGGCGUGUGGUUCUUGUUCUCUUGUUGAUGCUCUUGUUGGUCUUCUUGCCGUCGUUUCCCGUCUUUCGUCUUGUGCCAUAGGUGUUGAGUCUUGUUUUGAGUUGCGCUGGGCGGUACUACCGUUGUGAAGGCGCGGUACUACCGCUUAUGUGGCUAAGCGGUACUACCGCCCAUCACCACGGUACUACCGCUGAGGGGCGGGGCCAGGGGUUAAGUCAUGGGCAGGGGUGGUUUCCUCCUCCCCAUACCCAUUUGCUUCGUCCCCUGGUUCCUCUUCCUCUCUCUCCAGCGCCAUCUCGCUGCGGGAGGGCUCCGGCGGCCCUCCGUCUCCGGACCGUUCCUUUCCAUUUCCUUCGGUGGAGUCGAUCCCCACCUCGUCCUCUUGCCAUGGAUGCCGGUAUUGCCCCCGUUCCUCUUCUCUUCUUGUCUAGUUUUCAGAUCUCGCGUCUUAGGGGCAAUAGUGGUUGCAUCUCUAGAUUUUUGGCCAAAUCUAGGCUUGAGUAGGUUGGAGAAGGCAACUAGACUCUUUGAAUUGAUGUUUGGUAGGUUUAUUUUUGAAUUUGGCAUCCCCGGUAGUGCCGGAUCUGACCACGGCAGUAGGGCUCCUCCGUGCCCCGUCUCGGGCGGUACUACCGCCCAUCUGGCGCGGUACUACUGCUGGAGCGGUACUGUCGCUGGUGCGGUACUGCCGCUGUGCAGGCACGGUACUACCGCCGGAUGCCCAGUUCCAUCGUUUCCUACCACAUGUUGAUCCAUAUUUGUUGUGUUUAUUUGGUUUUGAUCGCUCCUUCUGGUUGUUUCGUGUGUCCGUGUGUUUGGUUCCAGGUGAUGAACAUCCUGAGCAGCAAGUCCGCCGUGUCAACCCCGGGCGUUCAACGUCAUGAAAGCGGUACCGCUCAUCUGAGACUGCGGGUGGUUCUUCCAGUGCUCCACCGCCGCCAGUGGGUGCUUCCUCAAGUGCUAAUCCUCCUCUCAAGAAGAAGACUGCCAACCGGCCGAAGCCAAGUGGCAAGAAGGUGACUGAGAUGUCUAGCAAGGAAUUCUGGGACAGGCGUCGCCGCAACCCAUAGGAGGAAGACCAAGAACCCAACCUUGUCAAUCGCCCGUUCUGGAACCGGUUUCAGUAUGCCACCUACUUUGAUGUGAUCAAGGCUAAGAAGAACCUCUUUGUCAAUGUUCAUUCCAUCAACACGGAUGCUAUGGAGAAGGACCCUGAGUACUUUGGUGAUGCCCUUCAGAUGUGCUCUCAGUUGAACAUUCUCAGGAUCAUGCAGUUCAACAAGGACUUUGAUGCAGAUUUGCUGGCUCAGUUCUUUGCCACUGUCCACCUAGGAACUGAUGAAGACAGGACUCUGACUUGGAUGACUAAUGGGAAGUUGCUAGCUGUCAAGUGGCAGGCCUUCAUGGGGUUGCUUGAGGUGGAAGAUCAAGGGAUUGAGACUCCAGUCGGUUUUCGUCCUCACCAAAAUGUUACCUCCACUCACAAACAAGCCCUCUGGCCCUACUGUACUCGGAAGGUCAACCCUGAGACCAGGAAGGAAACCUAUGAGUUGUCUGCCUAUCUGGACAUCCUUCACCGUAUCUUCCGCGAGACUCUCUUCCCUCGUAUCGGGAAUCUGGACAUGGUACACUCUUAUCUCGUGGACAUGCUUCUCUUCUGCCAGCGUGAGAAGGAAGCAAACACUGGCGAGUCCCUGGACAUCUCUUAUGUCAUGUGGUCUGAACUUCUUGCUGCUAUUUCUGAGCGCAAGUGCCCGAUUUAUGGUCCGUUCAUUAUGUUGCUCAUUGAGAAGGCCUGGAGACGUACCUAUCCUGAGGAGCCGCUGGAAACUGGAGAGUUGGUUUCUCAUGAGAUCAAGCGUCUGCGGAAGAAGGAUAAUUGGGGCAUUCCUAGAUCUGGAGUUCCAUCUUCUGCUGCUGCCAUGUAGACCGAGGGUGAGGCUGAUGCAGAUGAUGACGAUGAGGAUUAUGUGCCUUCUGGGACAGAGCCUUCUGUGGCAGAGCCCUCUUGGGCAAAGAAGCUCAAACACAAGAUGAAGAAGCUGUUCUGCAUGGAGUCUCACGGUCAGUACAUGACUCAUGUGGCUGAGAAGAAGGCAAGGGGACGUCACAAGGAGCUUAUGCGUCAGUUGGGUGCGACAGUCACCAGCGGCUCUAAGGGUCAGAUCACUGAGGAGGAGGAGUGGAUCCAGUAGCACUGUCCGUGGACCGAUUCAGAUGCCGAGCAGUUUCCGGCCGAGGACGGCAGUGCAGAUGAUCACGCAGAGUCCUGAUGUUCGAGAUCCUCAGCAUGCUCUCACCUGGAGCUGUAGGUUAGCUCUUUGCCCCUUUUGGUGUCUCGAUGCCAAAGGGGGAGAGAGUUUAGGGAUUUGCGUCGUUGAGUUGCGAGUGUGUCUUUGUCUUUGUGCUUUCUUUGUGUUUGCUACCUUGUGCUUUGUUUGGUUUUGUGUUCAGUGAGACCUUAGUUCCAAUCAUAUGGUGUGAGACAUAUGCUACCCUAUCCUUAUCAUACCUUUAUCUUUGUCUCUAGUCAUUUGGUCUCUCAUGAGUUGCAUGCUUAUUAUGUUAUAUAUCCUGCUCUCUUGUAUCUCGCUUAGGUUGUUGGUCUCUAAAUACAGGGGGAGUAUUGAUCCUAGUAUGUGUGUCGUGCAGUCCAAAGCACUUCUCUUGAUGGCACACAUCUAGGGGGAGCCCGUCUAUAUUUUAGAGAUUUGGGGUUUGCUUAUGUCCUUUGUCUUUUCCCAGUUGUGCAAAUCCCGUAUUGUCAUCAAUCCACCAAAAAGGGGGAGAUUGUACGGGCAUAUUUAUCCCUAAGAUGUUUUGGUGAUUGAUGACAAUGCUUUUGCGGACUAAUCGUGUGCAUUGAGUGUUUUCAGAGAUUCAUCCUUUUGGCACGAGACGAUUCCCUCCCCUCGGAGCUUGAAGCGAAGACGGUGUAGUCCUUUCGAAUUAGUUUGGUGGACUAGUUUCAUAGGGAUCACCGUACUAUAAAGAGGGGGUCCGCUUUGGAAAGGCUAGGGCGGAAUCAUCACGUACACUUCCUUUGCCCCCCCUCCGAGCCUUUCCGCUUCUAUGAUGGGCUCGUUCCUCUUAUCAGUGUGCCCUCUCUGGUCCCAGCGGUAGUACCGCGGGCCGGAGAGGUAGUACCGCUUGGGUGCUAUAAGCGGUAGUACCGCGCCAGAGCGGUAGUACCGCUCUGGAGCGGUAGUACCGCUGGUAGCCCCCAGCCGUAGUACCGUUGCGGUCUCGUGCUAGUACCGCCUCGAUUCGAGGGGUCUUUUUUCGUGUCGGGUUUUACGGUACUAGCCGCGGCAGUGGGGGCCGUAGUACCGCUCGUUUGCAGUAGUACCGCCCUGCCACCGCGGUAGUACCGCUCUGGGCCCAGCGGCAGUACCGCGAGGGGGAGCGGUAGUACCGCUUAUAGGGGCAAGCGGUAGUACCGCUCUCUGCGGGGCUGAAGUGGGGGGUAACGGUUGGAUUGUUCCCCCCACUAUAUAAGGGGGUCUUCUUCCCCAAAGUUGACCUACCUCUUCCCCCAAAAGCUCCAUUGUUGCUCCAAGCUCCAUUUUCGCCCGAUCUCUCUCCCUAGCCAAUCAAACUUGUUGAUUUGCUCGGGAUUGGUUGAGAAGGCCACGAUCUACACUUCCACCAAGAGAAAUUUGAUUCCCCCACUUAUCCCUAGCGGAUCUUGUUACUCUUGGGUGUUUGAGCACCCUAGACGGUUGAGGUCACCGCGGAGCCAUAGUCCAUUGUGGUGAAGCUUUGUGGUGUCGUUGGGAGCCUCCAAUUAAGUUGUGGAGAUUGCCCCAACCUUGUUUGUAAAGGUCCGGUCGCCGCCUUCAAGGGCACCAAUAGUGGAAUCACGACAUCUCGCAUUGUGUGAGGGCGUGAGGAGAAUACGGUGGCCCUAGUGGCUUCUUGGGGAGCAUUGUGCCUCCACACCGCUCCAACGGAGACGUACUUCCCCUCAAAAGGAAGGAACUUCGGUAACACAUCCUCGUCUUCACCGGCUCCACUCUUAGUUAUCUCGUCCCUUUAAUUUCGCAAGUUUACUCGUGUUAUAUCUCUUAUUUGCUUGCGUGCUUGUUGUCAUUGCAUCAUAUAGGUUGCUCACUUAGUUGCAUAUCUAGACAACCUAUUUUGAUCCAAGUUUAAUUUGGUAAAGAAAAAGCUAAAAAUUGUUAGUUGCCUAUUCACCCCCCCCCCCUAGUCAACUAUAUCGAUCCUUUCAGUGUCUUCGAAUCAAGCUUUGACCUUUCAUCUUGAGGAAUAUGAACAAAGGCCUUGCACCCAAAAACCUUCAGGUGGUCAUAUGAGACGUCCUUGUCACACCAGACCCUGUGAGGAACAUCUCCCUGCAAAUUAUAACUUGGUGAGAGAUUAAUAAGAUAAACUGCAGUCAUCAAAGCCUCACCCCAAAAGUGUUUACGUAGCUUUGCACUUGACAGCAAGCAUCUAACUCUCUCCACAAUUGUCCUGUUCAUCCUCUCAGCAAGACCAUUCAGCUGUGGUGUCUUCGAGGGAGUAAAUUGAUGCCUAAUACCUUGCUGCUUGCAAUAUGCAUCAAAUGGCCCAAUAUACUCUCCUCCGUUAUCAGUGCGAGUGCACUUGAUCUUCUUCUCAGUUUCUCUCUCAACUGAGGCUUGGAAUUGCUUGAAUACACCUAGUACUUGAUCUUUGGUCCUCAAAGUGAAGGCCCAAACUUUCCUGGAAAAGUCAUCAAUAAAAGUCACAAAGUACUUAGCACCACCAAGAGAUCUUACCGACAUUUUGCAAACAUCGGAAUGUAUCAAGUCCAGCUUCUCGGGCUUCUUGUGAGGAGGUAGAGUCUUGAAGGCAACUCGGUGUUGCUUCCAUGCUAGACAAUCUGAACAUUUCUUGAUGUGAACUCCUUUCACACCCUUCAACAAUUUUUUCUUCACUAGCACUGUCAUCCCCUUCUCACUCAUGUGCCCAAGUCGCUUGUGCCAUAGAGCACAAUGAUCAUCCUUCUCUACUGCAUUGACAGAAGCACUAAAGAGCUUAGCAUGAACAUGAUACAACACUGAGACCAUUUUACCUCUUGCAACAAUCAUGUUGCCUUUGGUGAGCUUGUACUGCCCCUUUCCAAAACUGCUCAAGUAAUCAUCUCCAUCAAGCAAACCAACUGAAAUAAUAUUGAGACGAAGUGCCUCAACAUGCCUCACAGAUUUGAGGACUAACCUUGUACCAUUUGUGGUCUCCAAAUGCACAUCUCCUUUUCCAAUGAUGGCUGCUCUAUCAUUGUUCCCCAUCUUCACAACACCAAAAUCACCUGAUAUAUAUAGUUAGUGAAGAGCUCUCUGCGAGAUGUAGCGUGAAUGGUAGCACCGCUGUCCGGUAUCCAAAUCAUAUCGUCACCAUCCACAAGGUUGACGGUUUCAUCAGAAACAACAGUGAUCUUCUCCUCAACAGUGGAACCAAAUCUGCCCUCAGUUUCUUCAUGCAUAACAAGCAUGAUGUCCUCUUCUACUGCAGUAACUCGGUUGCCCUCUGUGUCACUAUCACUGUCAACUUGCUUCUAAUCUUGCUUCUUCUUUUUCUUUUUGUCUUUCUUCCACUUGUCACAUUGCCACUUAAUGUGGCCCUUCUGAUGGCAGUGAUGGCACUCAUAAUCAGCAUACUUACUUUUUGAUUUGUUCCUACCUCUUUCUGCCCCUUUACCUGGACCUCUGCUCUUGCUUCUUCCCCUGGACUGAGUGACCAACACCUCUGAAUGUGAGGAAGAACUAGCUUCAGCCACCUUUCUGGACACUUCAUUUAGUACCCUGGUUUUCACAAGAUUCCAAGUGACAACUCCAUUAGGUGUUGAAUUGCAAACUGUGACCUUAAAGGUCUCCUAGCUAUCCGGUAAUGAGCCUAGUAGCAGCAAAGCUCUCACUUCAUCUUCAAAUGUAAUUCCUAUUGAAGAAAGCUGAUUUAUAAUGCCUUGGAAUGUAUUCACAUGAUCUGCAAUUAGAGUGCCCUCUUUGUACCUCAAGCACAUCAAUUGUUUGAUCAAGAACAUCUUAUUUGUACCUUCUUUCCGGGCAAACAACUCUUCCGAUUUCUGCCAUAAGGUGCGUGCAUGUGUCUCAUCAAUGAUAUGGUUCAAAACAUUAUCAUCGACCCAUUGCCGAAUGAACCCACAAGCUUGGCGAUGAAGUGCCUUCCACUGACCUUCCUCAAUGCCCUCCGGCAUCUCAGUGGAGAACACUGGCUUCCAGUAUUCUUUCACAUACAACAAGUCCUCCAUCUUGCCCUUCCAUGCUUGAUAAUUUGUACCAUUCAAAGAUAUCAUCCUGCUGGUAUUCACUUCCAUCUUUCACCACAAGAAACUCAGCAAUUUGCACAAGCAAACCAAGGCUCUGAUACCACUUUGUUGGGGCUGGACAGCAACAAUGCGCUACACAAAUUCACCGACACGGCAAAUAUGCACACUACACAGCCCCCUCCACUUGUGAUGAACUUUGAGGACAACUUCAACCAACAAGUAAGCAACGGAAUAACACAAACAACAUGCACAAGUGACACAGGAUUUAACGUGGAAAAACCUCCUCAACUUGAGGAGUAAAAAACCACGGCUGUGGACCGACCGGUCCACGCAACUUCACUAUGAGAAUGAUGAGUACAAAUUCUUCUCUAAGACCUCUAGAGAAAUUUACAACACACUCUCCACGUUGCCAACCGGCAACAGCAACAACAACCACAAGAAGUAAGAUUUCAGCAAAGCAGAGUUUACACAGCUUCUGUACCCUUCAGUGUUCUGCAAACUGCUCUUAAACCGCUGAACCAAACAGCACCAAAUAUGGCAGACAAGUAGACACAUGAGUUCCUGAGAUCCCCUCCAAAUUUCAGCUCAAUCAGACAUCGUUUGCCUACCCAAACUGUUCAUCUCCCAAAACUACUCUAUUCUGAAACUGCAGCAGACAGACUUGACAAAACCACUCUCAAAUCUGAUGCUCCACUGACCCAAUCCUCAAACCAGCUAACCAGAUCGAAGUACUCAAAGUAAGGAACGAUCUCACCAAGUUUGGGGUCGAUCCAAGCACGUUUGAGCCUCCAACCACCAGCUUGAACACUGUCUAGUCAGAUGCAGCAAAUUUGGACAGAACCUCUGCUUCUUCUUCUUACUCUCUCUCGGGUUGUGUUUUCUCUUGUGUGUUCUCUCUCACACUCUCACGAAUGGCAGCCACCACCAGCAGGGGUGGAGUGGCUAGGGUUUUCUCCUUGCCUCACUUCCCUUAGAAGCGCUCUCAACCGUUGGAUGCAGCGAAGAUCAACGGCUGACAUGUGUUGGACUUAUGGGCUGAUGUUGGGCUGCCAACACACCUCCAUGUGGAGGGACUUAGCCCAACAGCCGGCUUAUUGGUCUGGGAGGGGAUGCUCCCACGCUCGACCGGAAUGUGGAUGACAGAGAAGGCAAGUGUACUACGGAAUGAUCUCCGAGGCAGGAGGGCCUGUCAUUCCAGCACCUGCAUCUCGCUUGUAUACGGGGCAGAAUGAUCUCCAGGAUGUGAGCCACAUGUCCAUACAAGCUGCAUGGAACUCUGCAAGGCAAUUCAAACAAUUAUCAGAGUGUUGCCUUGGGAAAAAAACUGAUACAGAUAAGCUGAUUGUAUGGAAGGAGAUUCAUCCAAUUGGUUCAAUUUGUAGUACUUUCUUUAUUGCAAUACUAGUUGACUUUGUAAAUCUACAAUGUUAAUGAGUUUGACAGAAAUGAAUUUACACACACGCUGUUACAAGGAAAUACAGAUGCAGCUGUGAAAAUUUCAAGUGCAGCACCAGUAUUUAUAUUGUUAUGUUCUUAAGUACUUUUUAAGUUCCAACUGCAUGAAAAUAAAUGCACAAAGUAAUUAAGUACUCCCUCUGUAUAUUAGUUUACAGAGGGAGUAAAUUUUACUACACAAAGACACAGUCAUCAUGCCAACAAAUUCAUAGACUAGCACAGAACAUUAUUGUUAAUACCAUAUCCGGAGGUCGAAGAAGUACAACAAAUAGAGGUGACUAGUUUUGCCUAAAAUACUAUGGGCAUGACAAAGGAUCAAAUAUGCAAAGUACUACAGUUUUUAUAAAACAGAAUUUUGGCGAGACAUACUGUGACGGCAAGGCAGCACUCUUAUCUGUUCUCCGCAUUGUAAUCCUCCAAACAGGUAGCUAAAAUGUCAGACAUGGCGAGCAGCGAUAUGAAUGAAAUCGCCAUGAUCGACCAGGCCGAGUUCUUGAAUGUCGGUAUUAUCCACACCUCCACAUCAGUACGGCCUGAAAAUUUCUUCAGCACCUCCCCUCAGACCUUUAAGAUGAACACGGCGUAUACAUGAAUACCACUUGAGCUUCCAGCCACUGUUACACCUAGUUCUCAGUUAGAAAGUGCAGAGAAUAUAUGAUCCGAACAAUAUUAAAAGAAACUAUUGAAAACUAUAAAUGUAGGAACAGUUCUCGAAAAAUAAACACAAUUUCAAAAAUGUUCAUAUUUUCAAACAUGCUCGGGAUUUCAAAAAAUUCUCACAAUUUCUGAAAAUGUUCACUAACUGUAAAAUAAUAUUCCUAGUUUUUCAAAGUACUCAGAGUUUAUUCUUUUUUACAAAUUUUAAAAAAUUCUCGGAAUUUCAAUAACUAUUUCUGUUCUACAGUACCAACAGUGCAGCCCAGUUGAGCAUCCCUAUACGUCGCACGCGCUGUUGGAUACGGCAAACCCUAUACGGCGCCUUCUGCGCUCGAUACAGUGUAUUUUGCAAUUCUACGCACACCCUCCUCCCAGUGUUCUGGGCUCGGCCCAUUUUCUUUUCUUUUUCUGUCUUUUUUUCUUUUUCUGGGCUCGGCCCAUUUUCUCUAUACCUGCAGCGCUAAAUAGGAUUUGCCUCGAAUUUCUCCCGCACAGUUCUAAUUUUUGAAAGGCUAGAACGAAGAAAAAGAAAAGAAAAUGGGCCGAGCCUAGAACGGCGCCUGCAGCGCCCCGCGCUGGGCCGGCCCAUUACUAUGUAUCUUAAUUUGCAAAAAAUGAAACACCGUGACCUCGCGAGUCAGACUUCGUCAGCACAACCGCCACGCUACAGAGCAGCAUCUGUCAAGAUUCAAAUAUUUCAUUCUUUUAUUCCUUCCUUCUCUUUUUUCUUUUAUUCUUUUUUCCUUAUUUUCAUUUUCGUUUUCUGUCUUUUUUUUUCUUCUUCCAGGUUUUCCCCCAUCGAUUUUCAUGUGUUUUAUUUACUUAAGUACGUGAACUUUUUCAAAAUCGAUGAUGUUUUUUCUAAAUUUGCUGAUUUUUUUUUCAAAAUCGGUGAACCUUUUUUAGUGAACUACUUUUAACAAUUGGAUGUUUUUUCAAAUUUGAUGAACUUCCUUUAAAUUUGUUGAACUUUUUUUGAAAAUUGAUGAACUUUUCUGAAAUUUGAUGGACUUUUCCUGAAAUUCGAUGAACUUUUUUUCAAAUUGAUGAACUCAUUUUCAUAUUUAUGAACUUUUUUCCAAAUUGAUGAACUUUUUUCAAAUUCUGUGAACUUUUUUACAAUUUCGAUGAACUUUUUUUCAAAUUCGAUGAACACUUUUUCAGUUUUGAUGAACUUUUUCUAAACCGAUGAACUUUUUCAAAAUCGACGAAAGUGUUUCAAAAUGAAUGAAGUAUUAUUUCAAAUUUACUGAACUUUUUUUAAUCAAAUUCAAAGAACGUUUUUAAAAUUGGUGAACUUUUUGUUCAAAAUCUGUGAACUUUUUUCCAAAUUUGUGAACUUUUUCAAAAUUUUGUGAAAUUUUUUGAAAUUCUGAAUUUUUCUCAAAUUCACGAUUUUUUUCAAUAAAAGUGCACGGAUUUAGCAAAAAAAUAAGGAAAAAAGCGAACAAAACCGUUACAGAAAAACAGAAACAAGAAGAAAAAAAGCUAGAGAAAGAUUAAAAGGAAACAAACGAUGUCAAUGAGCAUUGGCUGGUCAUUGGCGUUGUGGUUGGCGCAGCUCUAUGUGUAGGCUGAGGUCCCGCGUUCGAGGUCUGCUCCCUCCAUAUCUCUUUUGCAGUUUCAAUCAGAAAACAAAAACAAUUGGGCCGGCCCGCUACGACAGCGAUAACCUCUAGGACAGCACACUUUGUUGUCAGCACAUCAUCCUUCCUUUUCUUUCUACUCCCUCCGUCGCAUAAUGUAAGACGUUUUUUGACACUACUUACAUUAUGAGACGGAGGGAGUAGUUUUUAUUCUGUUAUAGGCUGUUUUUCCUGUGAUAUUCUCGUUUUCUAUUUUUCAGUUUUUCUUUUUUUUUGUUUUCUUCUAUUAUUCGCAAUCUUUUUCAAUUCAAAUUCAUGAGCGUUUUAAAACUUUUUCGUGAACUUUCUUUUGAAAACCAUGAAUUUUUUUCUAUUUCAUGAUAUUUUUUUCCAAAAUUGAAGGAACUUUCUUCUAAUUCAUGAACCUUUUGUUUAUAAAGGAUGGUGAAUAUUUUCAAAUACCUUCAAUUUCCUUGAACAUCGAUGCAUUUUUUCCCAAAUUCGAUGAUUUUUUCAAAAUCUUGAAGUAUUUCAAAUCUUUGACUUUCAAAAUCGAUUAACUUUUUUCCAAAUUCAAUAACCUUUUAAAAUCAAUGAAUUGUACUCAAAUUCAAUGUUUUUUAAAUUUAUGAAUUUUUUUAAAAAUUGAUGAACUUUCUUACCAAAAUUUAUGAACUUCUUUCUAAUCCAUUGGCUUUUCUCAUUUGCAUGAAUUUGUUUUCACUUUUUUACGAAAAGUUUUCAAAUCCAUGAACUUUUUUCAAGUUUGGUUUUUUUUCAAUUUUUAUGCGAAGUACCUUCAGCUUUACUAUUCUUUUUCAUUUUUUUAUGAACAUUUGCUGAAGUCGAUAGUUAACCAGUCAGCACUUCAACAUGUCAACAAGGAGAACUCCCGAUUGAGCGAGUGCAACAAGCACAAUGAUUGUUUCUUUGCCGGAGCGCAACGAUCGUUAGUUGAACGAGUAAAACAACCAGCCAUUUUUUCGCAUUUAAUGGGCUGUCCCACUCUGCGUCACGCCCGGGCGCCUACAGCGCUAAGUGGCACUGAGAGCGCCGAACAGGACGUCCCAUUGGAUACAGUGGGUGUCUAAUAGUAGCACCUGUCGCUAUGACACAUAGAGCAUUUGGUUUUUGGGGCUGGCCUGUUCUACCGCACACUUUAUUCAUUGCAUCUUUGUCAAUUGGUUUUCUAUCCAAAAAUAUACAUUCUUUGGUUUUAGGGUUUUCGGAUGGUUUGUCCAUUUUGAUUUCCCGACAAUACAAAUAUUUAUUUAUUUAAAAAAUUAACAUAUUUCAAAUUAUUAACAUGUUUUAAGAAAUUUGAACAUAUUUUGAAUAAUCAUGAUCAUUUUUAAAAUCAAUUAUGAAUAGUUUAUGAAAAUUCUGAAUACUUUUUGAAGUUCAUAUCUUUUUUAUUUUCUGAAUUUUUUACAAACUUUUCGUAUAUUUUUGAAAUCUCAUAAAUAUUUAUCACAAAAAUAAAAUAUUCGUGAAACGCUUUGGUCAUUUAUUUGUGAACAUUUUCGUAUAUGAACUUUUCGUAUAUGAACAUUUUCUAAUAUUUGUGAACUUUUUUUGAAAAUUCUUUGGUCAUUUAUUUUCGCAAAAAAAUUAACAUUUUUAAAACUUUUUUAACAUUUGUGAAACGCUUAGAAGAAAGUCAGAAAAAGGUAAUGAAAACCUGGAAAAAACGGGAAUGGAACCCGAACGUAUAAGACGAUUGAAAGAAAAUCGGCUGGAAUGAUUUUAUCAUAGGCCGCCAUAUGCUAGUGAAGCCUUGUACGUUUACUCGACACUUUUGGCGCAGUGGGUGUCAAAUAGAGAUUACUUCCUAGUUAUUCUUCCUGUGUGUCUUUUUCUGUUACUCUUGCGCAGAUCGUUGGUUCGUGACUCAUUAAUCCCUUGGGCUGCUAACACCUUUGUUGUAUGGUUGUAUUUUUCUUUUUAGAUUUUGAGGAAAUGCUAACACCCUUUUGUUGUAUGACUAAUGAAUCUCCCACAACAAAAAAAGUGUAAUGAAUCAGGUUUCGUUAAGUAGUGUGCAAAAAUGCUAUUCUUCACCCACUGCGAAUAAUAUUGCCUUUUUUAGGCAAGCGAAUAUACUGGCUAAAUAGUAGGAAUCGUGCACCCAUCCCUCCUGCGAGCCUGGCCCAUUUACCUUUUCAUUUUUCCUCUUUCGUCGGACGCACCACACUAGUCCAUGUUUGAUGGGUAGCGCGAGGGAAUAGCCUGUUUUGCGUGACCGAUUUGACCCUCAAGUUGACCUUUGAUCAAAAAACGUUCAACAUGAAAGUUGUUCGUCUUGUCGAAACGGUCAAGACCGCUUUUGGGCUCGUUUCCAUCCGAGAUCGUUUACCAUAUAAAAAAUUACCUGUAAGGUGCAGCCAGUUUAAACCGAACGAUUUUGGAAAGUUCGGAGAAACCCAAGUUUUGGACGUGAAUCCAAGCAUUUUCCUUGCACGGGAAGUCCAGCCGCCUCUUAUAUACCUAAGGGGUGACGGCCGAUUAAACAAUACACAAUCGAUCAAUCAAUCUACCACUUUUUAUCUUUUAUCUUUUCUCCGUAACCCUAUUUCUUCUUCUUCCUCGUUCUUCGUCUGUUCUUAUUGUUGGAGGGCGGCGAACCUCAAGGCCCUAGGGGUGAUCAGGUCGACCUAGGGCAGCCCAUAUCCGCCGCACGCCCUGACGGGGUCCCUCCCGGGCGCAUGGGGUUUCAGGUCUUCAAAAGCGCCCGCCGGAUUGUCUUGCGUACCGUGCUUUCGGACGGGUCUCCUUUGACGUGAGCUGCAAUGCAUCACCCCCGGCGUCGAGGGUACACCGUGAUGUGUUCGUGUGCGAACACACUUUUUGGCGACUCCACUGGGGACGAAGAUUUAAACGGUCUCCGGCCCGUUCUUGCUACGAAGAGAUCGUCAUCUAGGGUUUGCAAUCUACAAAGGUAAUAUGAAUACCCAAUUCACUUAUGUAGAUGCAAAUAAUGCAUAUGUUGUUGCUAGAUCGUUUAAUCAGCAUAAUGUGUCGGCUAGCCCUAGUUUUAUCAAUCAAGCAUCUAGUUAUGCGCAACAGCCGAUUCAGAAUAAUCUUCAUGCUUCAACUUCAUAUAAUUUUAGCAACAUGCAACAUAUGUAUCCCAACUACCAUGCAUCGGCAACCCCAGAAAUUUAUAUGCCGAUGAAUAACAUGAUGAGUUCGGUUUAUCAAGUUGAAACACCUCACAUAGGAACUUCCGAUAGUAUGCUACAAAGUGUUUCACAUUUUUAUUCAUCGGCAACUAGUUUGCAAUAUGUUAAUCAAAACAUGCCGGUGUAUAGGGGAAUUGGCCAUGCUACUACUAGUUAUCCGGCCAAUUACCUUCAAUCAUCAUAUGCUACACCUCAUGCUACUAAUUUUUUGGCACCAUAUGCAACUAUAGGUAUUCAUAAUUCGGCUUCGCACCUGCACGCUAAUAGCCGAAUAAGUGAACAUUCUAUAGGAUCACAUGUGUCUUUACCGGCAAGGUGCGGUCAGUUUAAACCGAACAGUUUUGAAAAGUUCGAACAAACCCAAUACCAAUUUGACUAGGGUUUUGGACGUGAAUCCAAGCCUUUCCUUGCACGGGAAGUCCAGCUGCCUCUUAUAUACCUAAGGGGUGACGGCCGAUUAAACAACACACAAUCGAUCAAUCAAUCUACCACUUUUUAUUUUUUAUCUUUUCUCCUUAACCCUAGUUCUUCUUCUUCCUCGUUCUUCGUCUGUUCUUAUUGUUGUAGGGCGGCGAACCUCGAUGCCCUAGGGGCGAUCAGGUCGACCUAGGGCAGCCCAUAGCCGCCGCGCGCCCUGACGGGUCCCUCCCGGGCGCGUGGGGUUUCGGGUCUUCAAAAGCGCCCGCCGGAUUGUCUUGCGUACCGCGCUUCCGGACGGGUUUCCUUCGACGUGAAUUGCGGUGCAUCACCCCCAGCGUCGAGGAUACACAGUGACGUGUUCGUGUGCGAACAACGUGCUCUGCGGCAUAUUGCCGUUGCGACGAACAUACGAAUCACCGGCUGGGUCGGCCCGUUUAGGUGCCGUGGCGAUUUAAACAAUACAUCAAAAACUCUUUCGGGGGUGGGAAUACAACACAUGAUCUAGUCAUCAAAGAGUGGCCGGUACAACGAGCUGAGCUAUCGAGCUUUAGUGAUUUUAAGACAGACCAUGCUCCUAAGAACCAAACCCCAAAGCGGAUUCUAAAAAAAAUCUGAAAUUUCGAACGAAGUUUUUUAAGGCAGCGCAUCCUUAAAUGCCAAAAACAUUUUCUGAAAAUUGUGAACACUUUUUUGAAACAGGAACUUUUUUGUAAUUACAAAACAAAAAUAGGAAGAGCCAACAUUUUUGAAAAUACGAACAUAUCUCGAAAUUUCUGAAAAAAAACCAAAAGGGAACAUUUUAUGGAACUCCUAAAAAAUGGAAACAUGAAAAUUUUUAAAAAGCUGUAAAGGGGAAUAUUUUUUGAAGUUCCGACUAGUUUCUAAUAACAUUGCGAACAUUUGUUUGGAAAAGAAACAAAACUUUAAAACAGGAUUUUUUUUUAAAUUAGUGAAUACAUUUUUGAGAAGUGAAAAAUGAAUUAGACUCCUGCAAAAAUGGAAACCUGAACAUUUUCCAAAAUUUAUGAAUAUUUUUUAAAGCAGAAACAUUUUUUAAAAUUCCAACAAAAUUUUGAAUUUUUUUUCAACAUUUUGAAGAAAAGCGUACCGAACAAAAUUUUAAAACAUGUUCAUUUUUGAAAAUUGGGAUUUUUUUUAAAUGUGAACAUUUUCUGAACUCUUGAAAAAAUGGACAUUUGGGAAUUAGUUUAGAAAAAUGAACUUUUUUUACAAUGGGAGCAAUUUUGAAAUUGUAAACAUUUUUUGAAAUGUAUAACCUUUUUCAAAAUCAUGGACAUUUUUCGAAUUUAUGAACAAAAUUUAAAAACCCAACAAUUUUUAACAAAUUGGAAGAAAGAUAAAUAAAAGAAAAAAAUGAAGAAUUAAAAAGAAAGAAAAGAAAAAAGCGAAAUAAAAACAGAAGAAAAAUAAAAAAAGGAUAAAGGAGAGAAAAGAAGAAAACAGGAAAAAGGGAAUACGUACACGAAAAAAAACAGAACAAGAAAAAAAAAACGGUUCAGGAACCACUAGGUCCUUGAACUGUUUCGAAGGUGUCUAGCAUCUGAAAUAGUUUAAGGGCCUACGUAAUACCUCUGAAAUAGUUUACGGAGCAACUGAGAUUUUACGUAAGACCCAUCAAUCUUUUGCAAUAUUUAUAUACAUCAUUCUAGAUCUAGUGAAGCUCCAGCAGAAACAAUUUACAACACAUGAAAAGCUAUAUACACCGUUGGUGAUUGUUUCAAUAGAACCAACCACAUUUAGACUGCUUUGAAUCUUACAAAAGUACAAACUCUGUUGUUAAUAGGUAUAAAAACGCAUCAGUAUGGAGGCAAAAAAUUUACUCGCAUAUACAAUUCACAUUCAGAAAUACUGGAGGCACGGUAGUAGGCAUGGGAACCUGGAAUAAAAACAAGGAAAGUGCUUCUGUAAUAGAAGUAAGGGUGGGCAUUUUAACGGAAGACCGAAGUGCCGAACCGAAAUAACCGAGACCGAAGCUGAGAAAAACGAAACCUUGGUAAUGUGAUUGGUUUGCAUCACUGGAAAACCGAACUUAAUUUGGCGAAUUCGGGUUUGACCCACGGGUAACCGAACAGACCGAAGGCCGAGUAAAAAAGAGUCCCACAACUCCGUACUUUCCCCAACACUAGUAGAAAACAGGGCAUUCGUUCGGGCAUGGCAAGCCCAUUAGUCCCGGUUCAGUCACGAACCGGGACCCAUGGGGGCAUUCGUCCCGGUUCGUGAGCCCAGGGGGCCGACCGGGGCCUCGUGGGCAUUGGUCCCGGUUCGUAUGGAACCAUUUGUCCCGGUUCGAGGCACGAACUGGGACUAAUGGGCCUCGCUCCUGGCCCACAACCAUUGGUCCCGGUUCUUGGCAUGAACCGGGACAGAAGGCCCGGAUUUAGUACCGGUUCUAGCCACGAACCGGGACAAAUGAGCUGCCUAUAUAUACCCCAUCGCCGCAGCAGAGCACUCCACAGUGCUCUGUUUUUUUGGCCGUCGAGGGGAGGGCAUUUGGGUGCUCCAGCUCACCUCCUAUGCACAUGAGGUGUUCGAUGAAAUGUCUGAGACACACUAGUUAAUCUUUCUCCUCUCGAAACUCGACCUCCGAGCUCCAUUUUCCCCGAGAUUUGUCUAGGUUUAGCGCUCCGUCACGUCCCGUCCCCGUCUUCACCGCCGUCGAUCGCCCGUGUCGAUCUCGUCGCCAGCACCACCGUGGUGAGCCUCUUGUUCUUAUCUUCUUUCUGAAAGAAAAAAAAAUCUUACUUCAGAUAGAUACUUGUCUAAUUUUGUUACUUUUAUUAUUCCUUCUUAUUAUAUAGUGUGAUGGUUUUGGUAUCCGCCCCCGUCGGCCCUCGUCCUGUCUAUGAUUCGGAUGUGGUAUAUAUUAUCUUUAUAACUAUUGGUUCAUUUAUUGUUUAUGAAAAUUAUGCCGACCAAUGUGACAUAGAUUUUAUUUAUCUAGGAGGUAUGUGAACCGGAAAUUCCAACCGAACCUAUUGUCGAGAGGUUAAAUUUAGUUGAAGAAAAAAACAAUUUCUUGAAGGAAAAAAUAAAAAAAAUUGAGGAGGAGAAGAUGAUAUUGGAGUUGCAUGUUGCGGAUGUCGUCGAUGAUCACAAGAUCAAGAUGGAUGCAAUGCGCUUGAAGAUUAGAAAGAUUAGAAAAUAUGCCAUUCAUACCGAGGCUUGGUAUCAUUAUGCCGUUGGAUCAAUUGUUACCUUGGUUACGAUUAUGAUCACAUUUGUUUUCGCAUUAAAAUGUUUUACAUAGUUUCAAUGUAUGGUUUAAUUAAUUAGAUGCUCUGGAGAGCUAUAUGUUGUUAGAUGAGAACUAUGUAUGUACUUUGGUUUUAAUGUGAUGAUGAACUUCUAUUAAUUUGGUCACUUAAUUAUCUAUUCAUGAUGUUCUGUAAUGGUUUUUGACACACUUAAUUAUAUAUAAUGCAUGCAGAUGAACCGCCAAUGGAUGUACGGUGACAGACACACCUCUGAGUACAUUAAGGGCGUGCAUGAUUUUCUCGAAGUGGCUGAGGCAAACAAGCAGAAUGAUUUUAUGUGUUGUCCAUGCCCUACAUGUGGGAAUACGAAGUCUUACUCUGACCGGAAAAUCCUUCACACCCACCUGCUUUACAAGGGUUUCAUGCCACACUAUAAUGUUUGGACGAGGCACGGAGAAAUAGGGGUUGUGAUGGAAGACGGCGAAGAAGAAGAGGACGAUGACAACUAUGUGCCCCCUGAAUACGGUGAUGCUGCAACGGGGGAAGCUGCUGAAGAUCAAGAGGAACCAGACGAUCUGCCCAAUGAUGCUGCAACGGGGCAAGCUGCUGAAGAUCAAGAGGAACCAGUGCUCGAUGAUGAUGAUCUCCGCCGGGUCAUUGUCGAUGCAAGGACGCAAUGCGAAAGUCAAAAGGAGAAGCUGAAGUUCGAUCGCAUGUUAGAGGAUCACAAAAAAGGGUUGUACCCCAAUUGCGAAGAUGGCAACACAAAGCUCGGUACCGUACUGGAAUUGCUGCAGUGGAAGGCAGAGAAUGUUGUGCCUGACAAAGGAUUUGAGAAGCUAUUGAAAAUAUUGAAGAAGAAGCUUCCAAAGGAUAACGAAUUGCCCGACAGUACAUACGCAGCAAAGAAGGUCGUAUGCCCUCUAGGAUUGGAGGUGCAGAAGAUACAUGCAUGCCCUAAUGACUGCAUCCUCUACUGCGGUGCGUACAAGGAUCUGAACGCAUGCCCGGUAUGCGGUGCAUUGCGGUAUAAGAUCAGACGAGAUGACCCUGGUGAUGUUGACGGCGAGCCCUCCAGGAAGAGGGUUCCUGCGAAGGUGAUGUGGUAUGCUCCUAUAAUACCACGGUUGAAACGUCUGUUCAGAAACGAAGAGCAUACCAAGUUGAUGCGAUGGCACAGUGAGGACCGUAAGAAAGACGGGAAGUUGAGAGCACCCGCUGACGGGUUGCAGUGGAGAAAAAUCGAGAGAAAGUACUGGGCUGAGUUUGCAGCUGACCCAAGGAAUGUAUGGUUUGGUUUAAGCGCGGAUGGCAUUAAUCCUUUCGGGGAGCAGAGCAGCAAUCACAGCACCUGGCCCGUGACUCUAUGUAUGUAUAACCUUCCUCCUUGGAUGUGCAUGAAGCGGAAGUUCAUUAUGAUGCCAGUUCUCAUCCAAGGCCCUAAGCAACCCGGCAACGACAUUGAUGUGUACCUAAGGCCAUUAGUUGAAGAACUUUUACAGCUGUGGAAUGGAAAUGGUGUACGUACGUGGGAUGAGCACAAACAGGAGGAAUUUAACCUGCACGCGUUGCUGUUUGUAACCAUCAACGAUUGGCCCGCUCUCAGUAACCUUUCAGGACAGACAAACAAGGGAUACCAUGCAUGCACGCACUGUUUAGAUGACACUGAAAGUACAUGCCUGGACAAAAGCAGGAAGAAUGUGUACCUGGGCCAUCGUCGAUUUCUUCCGACCAACCAUCAAUGUCGAAAGAAAGGCAAGCAUUUCAAAGGCGAGGCAGAUCACCGGAAGAAGCCCGCCAUGCGUACCGGUGAUCACGUACUUGCUAUGGUCAAUGAUUUACACGUAAUCUUUGGAAAGGGUCCCGGCGGACUAGCUGUUCCGAAUGACACUGAGGGACACGCACCCAUGUGGAAGAUGAAAUCUAUAUUUUGGGACCUACCCUACUGGAAAGACCUAGAGGUCCGCUCUUCAAUCGACGUGAUGCACGUGACGAAGAACCUUUGCGUGAACCUGCUAGGCUUCUUGGGCGUGUAUGGGAAGACAAAAGAUACACCUGAGGCACGGGAGGACCUGCAACGUUUGCACGAAAAAGACGGAAUGCCUCCGAAGCAGUAUGAAGGUCCUGCCAGCUACACUCUUAUGAAAGAAGAGAAAGAAAUCUUCUUUGAAUGCCUGCUCAGUAUGAAGGUCCCGACUGGCUUCUCGUCGAAUAUAAAGGGAAUAAUAAAUAUGCCAGAGAAAAAGUUCCAGAACCUAAAGUCUCAUGACUGCCACGUGAUUAUGACGCAACUGCUUCCGGUUGCAUUGAGGGGGCUUCUACCGGAAAAUGUCCGAUUAGCCAUUGUGAAGCUAUGUGCAUUCCUCAAUGCAAUCUCUCAGAAGGUGAUCGAUCCAGAAAUCAUAUCAAGGCUAAGGAGUGAUGUGGCGCAAUGUCUUAUCAGUUUCGAGCUGGUGAUCCCACCAUCCUUCUUCAAUAUCAUGACGCAUGUCCUAGUUCAUCUAGUCGACGAGAUUGUCAUUCUGGGGCCCGUAUUUCUACAUAAUAUGUUCCCCUUUGAGAGGUUCAUGGGAGUCCUAAAGAAAUAUGUCCGUAACCGCGCUAGGCCAGAAGGAAGCAUCUCCAUGGGCCAUCAAACAGAGGAUGUCAUUGGGUUUUGUGUUGACUUCAUUCCUGGCCUUAAGAAGAUAGUUCUCCCUAAAUCGCGGUAUGAGGGGAGACUGACUGGAAAAGGCACGCUAGGAGCGGACUCAAUAAUAUGCUGGGACGGGCAUUCUUGGUCUCAAGCACACUACACAGUUCUACAGAACUCUACCUUGGUGACCCCGUAUGUCGAUGAACACAAGAACAGUCUGCGCUCCAAACACCCGGAGCAGUGUGACGACUGGAUUACAUGUGAACACAUCAGGACUUUCAGCAGUUGGUUGGAAACACGUCUCAGAGGUGACACCACUGUUUGUGAUGAGUUGUACUCGUUGUCCAGGGGACCAUCUUCGACUGUAUUGACUUACAAAGGAUACGAGAUAAAUAGGAAUACAUUUUACACGAUCGCCCAAGAUCAAAAGAGCACCAACCAAAACAGCGGUGUCCGCUUUGAUGCAGCAACCGAGAGGGGAAAGGACACAUAUUAUGGUUACAUAAUGGACAUAUGGGAACUUGACUACGAACAUGAUUUUAAGGUCCCUUUGUUUAAGUGCAAAUGGGUCAAUCUGUCAGGAGGCGAGGUACAGGUAGACCCACAGUACGGAAUGACAACAGUGGAUCUGAACAAUCUUGGGUACACUGACGAACUGUUCGUCCUAGCCAAUGAUGUGGCACAGGUUAUCUAUGUGAAGGACAUGUCUACCAGACCGAGAAAAAGAAAAGAUAAGGAAGCGAAUACAUCAUACGAUGAGCCAAAGCGCCACAUAGUUCUUUCAGGAAAAAGGGACAUUGUGGGAGUGGAGGGCAAGACAGACAUGUCUGAAGAUUAUGAAAAGUUUCAUGAAAUUCCUCCCUUCAAAGUCAAGGCUGACCCAAGCAUCCUGAUAAACGAUGAAGAUUAUCCAUGGAUACGGCGCAAUAAGCAAAUGACACAAGCGAAGAAAAAGUGAAGACUUUCUCUCGCAACUAUUAUGAUGAUACCAUGCCAACUUUGUAACAAACGAGUAUGAUACCAUUGUCCGUUUUGUACACGAAGUGCAUCUAGUUUUUGCCGUAACCCUCUCAACUUUCUUGCACAUGCUAUGUGGAUGAAAUGAUGAUACCAUGCCAACUUUCAACCUUUUCAGAGUUCGUUUGAAAUGCUUUUCAAUUUUAGGGUCUUAUAGCUCAAAAUAAUCAGUAAAUGCAUGAAAAAUGGUGCAUGAAAAAUAACAAAUAAAAUAAAUAAGUAAUUAGAAACAAAAUAAUAUAAACUUUAAUAAAAUAUAUAAGUAGAAACAAAAUAAAAUAAACUUUAAUAACAUAAAUAAAAUUUAUGAAACUAAAAUUAUCAAACUAUUUUCUGUUCAAAACAUUAUAAGCAACCUCUAGUAUUAUUGAAACUAAAAUUAUAUAAAAUUGAUGCAACUAAAAUUAUCGAAGCAUUUUCUGUUAAAAAUCAUUGAAAGCAAAAAUAAUUUUCAUAAAGAACUUUUUUUGUUAGAAACUUUAAUAGCAAAAAGAAUUAUCAUAAAGUAAAAUAAAUAAGUAAUUAGAAACAAAAUAAAAUAAAAUAUAUAAGUUUUUUGUUGUAAGUAGAAACAAAACAAAAUAAAUAAAGCAAAAAAGAAAACAAAAAAGGCAAAAAAUAAAAAUUAUGCCACCUACUGGGCCACCACGGCCUGAAUACGACUAGAAACCCAUCCAUGGGCCAGGAUUCAGGCCCGCAGAAGGCCUAGUAGGCCCACAGGCAUGUACAGAGAGGUUAGGCCCGUAAGCUUGCUUUAGAGAGGAGCUCGACGGCUCAGGCGCACCGCACCUUAUAAACAGGUGCGGCUCUCUCUCAGCUAGCAAGGUGGGACUAAACUCCCACCACCACGCCGCUGUGCAAGGCCAUUGGUCCCGGUUGGUGGCACGAACCGGGACCAAUGCCACCCUUUGGUCCCGGUUCGUGGCACCUACCGGGACCAAUGCCCCCCCUNNNNNNNNNNNNNNNNNNNNNNNNNNNNNNNNNNNNNNNNNNNNNNNNNNNNNNNNNNNNNNNNNNNNNNNNNNNNNNNNNNNNNNNNNNNNNNNNNNNNNNNNNNNNNNNNNNNNNNNNNNNNNNNNNNNNNNNNNNNNNNNNNNNNNNNNNNNNNNNNNNNNNNNNNNNNNNNNNNNNNNNNNNNNNNNNNNNNNNNNNNNNNNNNNNNNNNNNNNNNNNNNNNNNNNNNNNNNNNNNNNNNNNNNNNNNNNNNNNNNNNNNNNNNNNNNNNNNNNNNNNNNNNNNNNNNNNNNNNNNNNNNNNNNNNNNNNNNNNNNNNNNNNNNNNNNNNNNNNNNNNNNNNNNNNNNNNNNNNNNNNNNNNNNNNNNNNNNNNNNNNNNNNNNNNNNNNNNNNNNNNNNNNNNNNNNNNNNNNNNNNNNNNNNNNNNNNNNNNNNNNNNNNNNNNNNNNNNNNNNNNNNNNNNNNNNNNNNNNNNNNNNNNNNNNNNNNNNNNNNNNNNNNNNNNNNNNNNNNNNNNNNNNNNNNNNNNNNNNNNNNNNNNNNNNNNNNNNNNNGUUCCCGUCACCGUGUGCCGCCCCGAGCCCGCCGUCCUCGUCGCCGGACUCCUGCCAUCGCCGCCCCCCUCGAAGUGAGCCCCCCCCUUUCCCAUGGUCCCGAUCGAGCGCCGCUCUUGCGCUCGAGUGCCCCUUGCUCUCUGCCCCUGCUCCAUGGUCGCCGCCGGCCCCGACGCAUUGAAGAGCAGAAGGAGAGGAGAAGGAAUGGAGCAGCAGCAAGACGCCGUCCAAUUUUCUGAAAUUUCUGAAUUUUUUUACAGAUAUGAACAGUGCAUAUAGAGGGUGUUUGAUCAAAUGCUAGAUGGCUUUGGGCAUUUUUAGAAUUUAUGACAUUUUUUGUGGUGAGGUACUGAUGCAAGACAAAGGUGAUGGCAAAAUUUCAGAAUUUUUGGAUUGGUUUAGAAUAGGUUUUCAACAAGGAAUUUGAAUCUGGUUCAAAUUUCAUUUGAAUGAAAUUUGAAAAUUUUGAACUAUGGAUCAGAAGGUUUUUGGUGAAAUGGAGUGUAGGUACUGUCAUGAAGUUGGAGUAAUUUUUGUGGUUGUAAAAGAGUUAGGAAAAUUUAGAAUGUGCUAAAUAUGUCGAAAAAUGUUUUUUUGUUCAUAUACAGAAAGUUUUUAUAUAUGACUAUGGAUAUAUGAGCAAUGAUGAUCCAUGGAUGUAUGCAUUGAUAUAUAUGAGAAACGAUGUUCAUAGAAUAUUUACCAAGUAUAUGUGUAUUUUUGUUCAUAGCAUUUUUUCCAUUUAUAUAUGUAUGUGGCUAUAGAUGGAUAUAUAUGAGAAAUGAUGAUCCAUGGAAAAGUUUUAUAUAUGCAAAAGUUACAUUUUUAUAAAAGUUUUAUAUAUCUAGCUAGGAAAGGAAGAAGAAGAGGAAAAACGAAAAUAAGAAGAGGAAGAAAGGAGAAGAAGAGGAGAGGAAGAAGAGGAGAAAUAAAAAAGAAGAAUAUAUUUUUUCUUCUUCUCCUCUAUUCCUUUCUUCUUCUCCUCUUUUUUUUCUUCUUUUUUUCUUCGAUCUUCUCCUCUAUUCCUUUCUUCUUCUCCUCUUUUUAUUUCUUCUUCUUUUUCUUCAAUCUUCUCCUCUAUUAAUAUCUUCUUCUCCUCUUUUUAUUUCUUCUUCGUCUUCUUAUUUUUUAUCGGAUAUGUCGUUGUCGAUAUACCCCGUGUACCGAUAACUUCAACACGAGGGGGGGGUUCGACCUACCCCCUCCCCGAUAACAUUAUUUUCCCAUGUAUGUAUGUCGUCGUUGUCGAUAUAACCCCCUCCCGGAUAACUUCGACCGUGAUAACUUAUACCACGGGAGCACCCCCCGGCCCUCUCGCUCGACCAAAACUCUCGAGGACACCCAAACCCUAGAAAAAAACGAUGUCAGUCUCCUACCCCCUCCCGCCGCGCCCCUACCCUUGAAGCGUUGCCAACGCCACCCCAGACCCGGAAUAAGCUAGGUCUACGUUUGCACUAAUAUAUCCACCUGCUGUCAUGUUUGUGUAAUAAUUGCCAUGUUGUAAUAUUUGCAGAAACAAUGGAGCACGGACGAGAUGAGGAAGCAGAAGAGGUGUUGGGGGACAUAAUCUUAGCCGGAGGUGAUAUCUUGUCGUAUCUUAACGACAAUGAUGGUCUGGAAGAACAGGGUGAAGAAGCAGGCUACGGUGAUUGAAGAGUGGAGGAGGAAAGACAUGAUUAUGAUGGCUCCGGUGACCCAAUGCUGGUGCAAGAAGGAAACCGUGGUGACGGCUCCGGUGACCGAACAGAGUCCGGCCAGGUAAAUAUAUUAGUUAAGCCUGUGCUGACUAGCUAAUUGAUGCAUUCAUUGUUUUGGUAUGUACACAUAUUAAUUAACUCUCGUCUUUCUUCCUUUUUCUAGCCCUCCGGAUCGAGCACAACUUCGGUAAAGAGACGAGGCCUGAAGAGAAAGUUGCGCUCGGAUGAAAGGUUUGAGAUCACAGCAAUCGCGCGCGACGGCCAACCGAUUGAACCCAUCCGGACAAAGGAAGCAUUUGCUGCUCAGUGCGGGGUUCUUGUUAGGGACAAGAUCCCGAUCAGCAUCCACCAAUGGUAUAAGCCUAAGAAGGAAGACCCUGAGGUGUCUUAUGUCAAUGAUAUGCAGAAAGAUGAUUUUUGGACUGAGCUGAAGGCAAAUUUCACCCUACCGCCAGAGGAGGAUCCGGAGAAGCCAGUUAAAGAGCAAUUAAUCAAGUCUCAUGCUCUUAAGAAGAUGGCAGACCUAUUCAGGAGGUGCAAGAAUGAGCUGAAAACGUUUGUCGACAAAGAAGAGACACCAGAAUUCAUCGGCCGGUAUGAGAAGAUCAGAGAUCACUGUCCCGCAUUUGUGGCCCACAAGACAUCGGAAAAGAGUAAGAAGAUGUCAGCGACAAACAAGAAGAAUGCUGCGAAGAAGAAGCUUCACCAUCGCACGGGGUCAGGUGGCUACCUCAAAGCCCGGCCUAAGUGGGCCAAGGCUGAGAAUGAUCUGCUUGAUAAAGGGAUCGAACCAGAGACAAUGAACUGGCCAGACCGUUGCCGGACUUGGUUCUUCGGGGCUGGCGGAAAAUUGGACCCUGUAUCAGGGAGGUGCGUUUGGACGGACGAGCAAAUGAUAAUACCAGUCAAGAGGCUUCAGCACUAUAUCGAUGCAGCGCAGCAAGGGACGUUCGUUACAGACAGAGAGAACGACGAGCUCACAAUGGCCCUCGGGAAUCCUGAGCACCCUGGACGGACACGAGGCAGGCCAGGCUCCGUUCCGUGGAAGGCUGGUUUUCCGGACGCAGGCGGUUACAAAAGCCAGGAGAGGAGGAAAAAAGUGGAGCAGACCCAAAUUCAGAAGCUGCACGAAAGGGUUCAAGCGCUAGAGGAACGAUACGCCAAUCGACAUGCCGAAACUACCCCGCCAUCUCAGCGGAGAAGCAGCGUGGCUUCCACCGAGCUGCUUCAGCCGGAGCAUGUCUUGACGGCUCCUGCUAGCUACCCCGUGGAUGCUAUCACGGAGUCUCAACAUUGCCACCUUAUGACGCAAUGGCAGAACUUCAAAUUCAAGGCGGCUGUUGGCUCUGUUUUACCUCCUGAGCCCGGCGCAACCUACCACUGCCGGCCGAUUCCAGAAGGAUAUGCUAGGGUGAUGGUGGAUGAAAUAACGGAGGGAUUUGAGGACCUCCGGCUUAACCACCCUACCGGUGAAGGGGAUACUCGGCUGGGUUCUGCUUUGAAGACUCCAUGCCUAUGGCGGAAGGAGCUCAUCAACCUUCCGAACUGGACGCCUCCGGCGAGUAAGGGCACUCCGCCUCCUCCUCCGCCUCCUCCUCCGGCGAGUGAUCAGGGCACUCAGCCUCCUUCUCCGGCGCGUGGCGGCACUCCGCCUCCUCCUCCGGCGAGUGAUCAGGGCACUCAGCCUCCUUCUCCGGCGCGUGGCGGCACUCUGCCUCCUUCUCCGCCUGCGCCGGCGCCCCAGAGCAGCCAGCCUCCUCCUUCUCCGCCUCGUCAGCAAGGGCGGAAGAGACCCGCCGCCGCUCCGGCUGCUCCGGCGCAUCGUAGUCCUUCUCCUCCGCCUCGUAAGCAAGGAAAGAAGACAGCCGCAGCCGCUCCAUCUGCUCUGCCGGCGUCUAGCAGUACAACCAGAGGCGGGAGGCAAUACAAAUUCGGUCCUUCUCUGAAGACUCCAGAGAAGUUACCAUACGAGAGGACCGAGGAGGAAACCAGGAAGAUCGUGCGAGCCGAAGUGAAAAACUUCUUUGAAGGGGUGAAAGCAAAUAAACAUCCACCUCCGGAGGAGAAGGUAGAUCCGGUGAAAGCGAAGCGCACUCUGGCUGCCCUGACAAAACCACCAAAGUCUCCGCCGAAAGGUAACUAUGAGCGCAUUAUUGCAAAGACAUUUGCCGAAGCGGAGCGGUCGGGAAGUACUGUCAGUGAUCAAAGGUUAAAAGAACGACGAGCUGGGAAAAAAAUUGCCCAGCUCGGCGAACAAGCGAACCAAUCGUGCCCCCCGCUCAAGGUGUCUAGCGACAUCGUCGCUAAUGAUCCGAGGAUGGUGCCCGGUUAUAGCAAUCUUGGAGAUUACCUGCCCGACGAUGUACAUUAUGAUAUCUUGGAGGUGGACGAACACAAAUACCAUUACAGGAAGCCUCUCGUCAAAGAUGAAAGAUCCCUAACAACGAUGAUGCGAAGAUUACAUGAUUGGUACAUGAAAACCUGCAGAGAGUCUGGGGGGAGGGAUACUUUGACGCUGAGAGUUAAACCGGAGCAUGACCUCGUUGGAAUUGAACUGUUGAAUGUUCCAUUUGAAGAGUUCUUCCAGUUUUUCAAUUAAAAGGCCCUCGAUAAAUCAACGGUCACUUGCUACUGUCUGUAAGUAGUACUACUUCUGUCAUUAAGUCUCUCUAUAUAGGUCAGCUCUUUCAUUGCAUGUAUUUAUAAUUAUCCUCACUAUAUUAUGCAGAUUGAAGAUCGCCGAAUUGAAGAAAAGACAAAUCGGUGAUAUUGGGUUCAUUAACACAAAUCUCAUAGAUGCAACUGAGGUUAAAUAUCAUGCCGAAAAUACCGAGGCCAACUUGCUACGAUCGUUGGUAAUAAAUGAAAACAAAGAUAUAAUACCCUUUCCUUACAACUUCAAGUGAGUGUUACUGUCUUGUGCAUAUUCGGUUUCCCUUAUUAGUCCAGGUUAUAGUAAUGUAAUUGAUGACUUAUGCAUGCGUGCGCAGUUUCCACUAUAUUCUCCUAGAGAUUAAGCUUGAGCAGGGAGUAGUGACCGUCUUAGACUCGAGACGAAAAGAUCCCCAGGACUAUGCGGACAUGACUCAAAUGCUCGAGAAGUAAGUUAAAUCGAUCAUUAUCCACCAUAUCAGCAACUUUGUUCAUUUCCUGAUAUCAAGUAAUUGUUUUCUUUGUCUGACAGGGUUUGGAGAAAAUUCACCAAAAAAGCUCCGGGACUGCCGAAGAAGCUGCAAUUUAAACACCCGAAAGUAAGUACUAUAGUAGCAUGUUCCGCGCAUCUCCUAGUGAUUCAAGCGCUAGUUUCGUCAAUACCAUUUAGCAUGCUUGCUUAUCAGUUUGAUUGACCUCUAUUUCUUGUAAAGUGGUUGUGGCAGGAACCCGGAAAUAAUUACUGUGGAUACUACAUUUGCGAGUCCAUCCGCUACACGACCUGUGAGCGGGGCUACUCUGACGAACAAUAUGAAGUGCGUAAGCAAUAAUAUUCACAAUUUUUUUUAUUACCAUCAUUUGUGUUGAGUUUCAUUUAUUCAUAUAUAUAUAUAUGUAUUGACCCCCUUCUUCAAAUUAGAUGUUUCGGAAGCGGGAUGAACUCCUAGCACCAGAUCGUAUGUGAGCAAUUCAAGAGGAAUUGUCGGCAUUCUUCCUUGACCACGUGAUCGCUGAAAACGGAUAAUACUAUGUGGACCCUGUGUUCUUACAAUUUAAUUAGGAGAUAAUUAUUGUAUAUAUGUAGCCGGUAGUGUCGGAUAGAUAUACGAGAACUUGUUGUUAGACCAAUCUCUCGGAGAAGGAGAGGUGAUCGAUAUCACUUCUCUCUGUAUGCAUAUGUUCAUGACGAUCUUCUGUUUCCUUCAUUUGAUUACUAGCUAACGUGUCUAGUCCUCUCCAUACGUACAUAGUACGUAGCGUCGACUAAGCACGGAGAUAAGAGAGGACACUUCUCUCUAUUAAUUAGCUAGCUAACACAAUAUAUGAAACACCUAAAUUAACCCCCCAAAACCCCCAACCNNNNNNNNNNNNNNNNNNNNNNNNNNNNNNNNNNNNNNNNNNNNNNNNNNNNNNNNNNNNNNNNNNNNNNNNNNNNNNNNNNNNNNNNNNNNNNNNNNNNNNNNNNNNNNNNNNNNNNNNNNNNNNNNNNNNNNNNNNNNNNNNNNNNNNNNNNNNNNNNNNNNNNNNNNNNNNNNNNNNNNNNNNNNNNNNNNNNNNNNNNNNNNNNNNNNNNNNNNNNNNNNNNNNNNNNNNNNNNNNNNNNNNNNNNNNNNNNNNNNNNNNNNNNNNNNNNNNNNNNNNAGCCACUGAAAUGCUGACGCGUGGAUGCCUAUUGGUCCCGCUUAGUGCCACCAACCGGGACCAAAGGCUCUCCUGCCUGGGCUCGCCGCACCGGCCACGUGGAGGCCCAUCUGUCCCGGUUUGUGUAAGAACCGGGACUAAAGGGUUAGGGCAUUAGUAACGACCCUUUAGUCCCGGUUCAAAAACCGGGACAAAAGGCCCUUACCAACCGGGACAAUAAGCCUUUUUUCUACUAGUGCAACUGCGCCUGAUCCGCCGCCCUGUUCAUUAAUUCCCCAAUUACGCUCAAGCUGACCCAGCGCCGUGACCUACCUUAGCUAUUUGAUUCUCGCUUAAUGCUUGAUUCAUUGCAUUCCGAAAUUUCUGGCCCUUCCCAGUGUCCCCGUUUGGCCAUAUUUAUCUAUGCCUAUACCUACUAAUAAUAAAAUGGACAUUCCUUCUGGCGGUACGUCAUUUAAAUUGACCCUAAAGUUGCAAAAAAUUACCCACCAAUUCCACUAUAAGUGACAAAAAACGUUAUCAGGGAAUCCCCUGCCUCGGCCGGCCCAUGCAUAGCGCCCUGCAGAAGGCACAGCGUGCCCGUUUGGGCCGUCCCAUGUGCGGGCGGCCGUUUUUUAUUUUUAAUUUCUGUUCUUUUUUGUAACUUUUUAAAUUUAGAUAAUUUGGAACUUCAAAAAAACUUUUCACAUUUUAAGAAACUGACAAUUUUGAAAUAAAAUGUUCAAGAAACAUAAAAUGUCUGUGAAUUGAAAAAUGCUCAGGAUUUUUCUAAAUAUGUUAGCAUAUUCAAAACAUGUUCGAAAUUAAAAAAAAUGUUCUUAAAAUAAAACAAAUCCAUGAUUUUGAAAAAAAAGUCUGUGUAUUAACAAUUACUAAUGAAAUUUAAAAAAAUGUUUGCUAAUUCAAAAAAAUUCAUGCAUUUUACAAAAUGCCCUAGAUUUUUUAAAACAGUUCCUGAAUUACAAACGAGUUGAUUGAUUCGUAAAAUAAUUGCUGAUUCAGAACAUGUUCAUGCAUUUCAAAAAUUGUACGUGAAUUUCAAAAAACAAAAUCCACCAAUUUCAAAAAAAAUGUUCGUCAAUUCUAGAAUUACCUGCUGAUUCAAAAUAAGUUUUUGAAUAAACGUUUACAAUAUAAAAAUAUGUUCACAAUUUUAGAAAAAAAAUACUUGUAAAUAGUAAAAAUGUUCACCAAUUUUAGAAAUGUCCCUAAAUUUGCAAAAAUGUUCACCAAAUGAUCAAAAGUAUGUAGUUAAAUAGUAAUGCUUCUGAGUCUUUGCGACUAUAUACCAGCUUGAAUUUAGAAGAAUUAACUACGGGCGUGGAUUCGAAUAUUAUAGUAUGGUUUUCUAGAAUCGUUUAUUGAAAUUCAGAAUAAAUCUUUGAAUUACCAAGUUUUUUGACAACCACGAUGUUUUUUCGAAAAUGUGAACAUUGCUUCAAUUUGUAAAUAAAUUUUUAAAAAGAAACAUUUUCUUGCAUUUGUGAACAAAUUUUCAAAAUCAUGCAAUGAGAUGUGAACAAAAUGUGGUCAUCGCCAUUAGAAAUUAUAUUUUUUUCUUCCAUUGGAACGCACCAGCUCUUUUGCUUUUUUUGAUAAAAGAGAAUAUAUUAAUAUCGCGAAGAUACCAAUUACAUCCAUCCUCUGCAACAACAAGAUGUCCAAAGACAUCAAGGAUGCACAUAGCCAAAAAAGAAAAAAGAAAGAGAAAUAGAAAACAAACAAAGCCCCCAUGGCGGUGAUGGAACACUUGCAAUAGCAACACCCAAACCACCACCGAAUACAACACCAAGACUACACAAGAGAUUCUCCAAAAGCAAUGCCUACACAAGAAGAUUGUCGCAAUGUAUCGACCGAUUUCCCUAGUUAUUUUUUUUGUUUCAAAUAGUAUUUUUGGAAAAAUAUGGUUUUUUUAAUUGUGAACAUUAUUUUGAGAUUUUUGAACGUUUCUUGAAAACCCGAACAUUUUAUGACAACACAUACAGUUUUCAAAUGUGUGAACAUUUUUUCCCAACAUUGUUUUUGCAAAUGUUUUUUUUCGAAGUUAUAAACAUUAUUUGAAAGCAGAAACAUUUUUAAAACUCAAAUAUUUUUUGAAAAAAUGAGAACAUUCAUUGAAAUUAUGAAUAUUUUUUUCAAAUUUGUGAACAUUUUUAAAAAGGUAUGUUUGUUUCUCGAAAUUCUGAACAAUUUUCGAAUUUGCAAAUAUAUGAAUAAAAUUUAGGAAUUGUGAACAAUUGUGUAAACUCAAAUAAUUUUUCACAAUUUUGACAUUUUUUAUAAAAUGCAAAAAUUUAAAACUCAAUUUUUUAUAGUUGUGAACUUUUUUCAUAAUAUCUAACAUAUCUUGAAGAUGUGAUUAUUUUUAAAAAUUAGACAUUUUCUGAAUUUUUUUGGAAUUUUCUCUGAAAUUUUGGAAAUGAUAUAAAAAGAAAGAGAAAAGUAAAGAAACACCAAAAUAAAACCUACAAAGAAAACAAUAAAAUCCGAUCAAGAUCCAAGGGUCCCAAAACCGGUCAGGAAUCUUUUUCCCAAACUCGGAUGUUGUAGUAGAUUCGCUAUCUAACAUGGGCUUGCCCAUUUGCAUCGUUGGUGCCCGGCAUCUGUGCAAAAUAACGACAUUUUGAUGCUCGAUACAUCAAAUAGGGAUUGUCGGCUCAUAGUCAUUCUUGUUAUUUUUCCUUUGCUCUAGUGUGGGUCAUGGGCUCCCAACUAGGAGGUAGGUUUUGUGUUCCUUGGGCUGCUAAGACCUUGCUGUGUAUGACUUAGGAAUGAAUGAAUUAUGGUUUUUUCCUUCAAAAAAGAAGAGAAGAAAUUAUGGUUUUGAGUGCCAUCAACACAAUUGUGGUGGCCUACGAUCUACACAGUUAGCAGUCCCAUUGCUCUUCUUUUUGGUGCCGAAAGAGAGCUUUAUUAGAUUGGGGCAGGGUACAGUGAUUUGCGAGGAAAGAGGGCUUUAUCUCUUUUUGAGCGGAAAGAGAGAGCUUUAUUAGAUAGGGAUAGGGGCACAGUCAAAGUUCAUUGUGUGGGCGAUUUCUUUAUCUGUGGUGGUAAUUGUGCAUCCAUACUGCCAUUCUACAUGUACCCUCUCUAUCUAAGCAAGCAUUCCCAUUGAUGUACACAUGAAAUUAUUCUGCAACUUGUAUGAAUUAUUGAGUCACAAGCUGUCGGUAGGCAUCCUUUCAUGGUAUAUCUACACAUUUACAUGUUACAACCGCCUCCAGUAGUGGUUACAUCUUGACUUGAUUUUUUUUUUAUUUGCAGCAGUUGGUAGAACUUGCUCUAUGCAUUAAUGGUCAAUGUUGACCGAAUAGAGUAGGCAAUCUGUUCAGACACCAAGUCCCACUUUUUAUUUCAGGUCAAUUUGAGUAUGUACUGUGCUUAGAGCGAGUGCUUAGUAGUAGAAACUAAACCCCUCGAUGUAUAGAUGUUUAGUUUGUUGCAACUAUUUUUUUUUCAUUUAAUUAGUUGUUUGCCGCAAUUUUUUUAGUUGUAGAAUCUUAUAUGUGCACUUAAAAGGCAAUAGAGUAAAAUAAAUGGGACGAUUACUUAAUACUCCCUCCAUUUCCUGACAUAAAGCAUACAUAUAUUGAUUGUAAGUCAAACUUGGUCAAUUUUGAUCAAAUUUAUAGAGCAUUUCAUCUAUGUCUAGAACACCAAACAUAUAUGAGGCAAGUGAUGCAGCAGUGACCCAAUGAGGCAAGGGAGGCAACUAACAUUGGUUGGGUGGCAGCUCUGUGCCCCUAGUGUGUCGGGUUUGUUAGCUCGGUCGACGAAGGGGGCAGUUUGACAUUAUGUUGGGGCGGCAGCCCCGUAAGAGGUGCGGUGACGGUUGUGGUCCACGGGUGGUUGCCCUAUGCAACUUGUGCUGCGGGUGACUAGGUCGUCGUCUGUCGGUGGUUGACCUGUGCAGCUUGGGCUGGGGGUGACUAGGUCAUGUAGCAUCGCGGCUCAAGAGCGAGCAGUGGCACGUCGGGACGUGGACCCGAAAGGUGUUGGGUGGACUACGUAGGGCGCAUCAAAGCAGAUGAAAGUCGAGGCGGCGACCUCAAAAUUUCGACAGUCUCAGGCACAUAAACCUUGAGUGGUGUCGUCUAUCUUAUUUGGAUGAUGGCAAAGAUUUUGCCGUUAGUUUCGAAACAACUGUUGGCAAAAUUAGUGUAUUGACUUUAUAUUUUCUUUUUUGAAAAAUCACUAAAUUUACUAAAGUUUGAGAGAAUAUACUAAAUUUAAACAUGUUUAUUUUGUAAAAAAAAACAGUGUAAAGAAGCACAAAAACUAUUCUUGAUUCCUAUUGGUUGGAACCACCAUCCCACAGAUCAGUGACGUGGCAGGGGGGCCCAACCCCAGCACGCACUCGAUCCAAGUCUUGAAUCUGGCCUUGUAUGUAGCGUCAAAUAUAUUGUCGCUUGUAGUUGGGGUCAGCUGACACGACAAAUGUGGAAGGAAAUUCCAAGGCAAUUGCUGUGACGAUAAGAUCCAGUCGAGCACGCCGGCAGAAAGGCCUGAUCCCCAUUCCCCCCACCCCUCUUCUGCGCAUUGACUAGAGAGAAGUCAUGUCGGAAAUUGGGGCCAUGAUUGCCGCUGCACUUUUGAAGGAGGUGGUGCAGCAGAUUGGUUCGCUGGUGGGAGGUCAGAUCAAGCUGCAGCAGAACUUGGACAAGGACCUCAAGGAGAUGAAGGCUACCCUCGAGUCCAUUGAGGCGCUCCUCAAGGACGCUGAGGACGCCAACACCAACAAUUCCAUGCGUUUGUGGCUCAAUCGUCUCAAAGACGCCAUGUAUGGCAUCGCCGACAUGAUUGACGAUUUUGAAGGAGGAACUGAGGCUGAGCCAACACGAAAGGUAACUUCUGAGCCAUGCUUCUUCUUUUUUCUUUUUCUUGUUUUUCGAUAAAGGGCGAUUUUAUUAUUUCAGAAUGUAGCAUCAAGGGGAUACAAAACAUUAUGAAUAACACCCGGCCUCUGCAUAACUGAGAUGCACACAGCCAAAUUCAAAAGUCUGACAAAAAACAUGAAAUAUAAACCGACAUAUCGGUAACAGUAAAGUCCUAUAGACCGACACUAUGCCUAUGUCGAAGGUGGUGGUGGAUCGAUCCGGAGGUUAUGCUGCCACCCAUGUUGGGAAAAAACCUCCGUAGCCACCUGCUUCAACCGCGUACACACCGCCUUGAACAGCGAUUGGUGCUCCGAUCGUUGUAGCAUAGACCACGUAUGAAGCGAUUGCGUACAACGGAAAAUAAUCUGCAGAGGAGAAGCAUUUUUUUCAUUAAAAACCAAAUCCUUUCUACAUAGCCAGAGCGACCAAAUUAAGGCGUACGCUCCCACCCUUAUAAGCGCUUUAAACCUAUUUGGAAUACCGUCCAACCAGUGACCAAAUAUAUUGGCAACACUUGUGGGCGGAUAUAAAUUUGACGCUAUUUGGAUGAUUGACCACGUAGAACGUGCAAACUUGCAUUGGAAAAAGAGGUGUUUGAUUGUCUCGUCAUGCGUACAAAAACAACACUUCUUACUCCCUGACCAGUUGCGUCGUGCGAGGUUGUCUUUGGUCAACACAACUCCCUUACGAAGAUACCACAUGAAAAUUUUCACUUUUAGUGGAAUCUUGGACUUCCAAAUUUUCUUGUUAUUACUCACUGGUACUUCAGAAUGUGUGAGCGCACGGUACAUAGAGUCUACUGUAAAAGACCCUGAUGUAGUAAGGUUCCAGCGAAACACAUCCCGACCUUGUGUCAGGUUAAUCGAAUCCAACCGGGACAAAAGAUUAUGCCAUGACAGAAGUCUGGGGCCAAUCAAAUCCCGCCUAAACGAAAUGUUCGGCGGGGAUGAACUGAGCACGUGCGCAAUAGUGUUGUUCUUAUCGCAAGCAAUGUUAUAUAAGGCUGGAUAUUGUUCUCUGAGACUGGCAUUGCCUAGCCAGAUGUCUUCCCAUAAUCGAAUCUCCGACCCGUCUUUUAUCGCGAAAGACCCAAAGCGAAAGAGAUGUUUCUUUGCCGCCAUUAGGCCAGCCCAGAAGUGCGAGUCACCAGGUUUCCAAUAUGCCUGGGACACCGCCUUUUGGCCUAGAUACUUGUUGCGCAACAUGGUUUGCCAAACACCAUCCUCAGUAAGAAGUUUGAACAACCAUUUACUGAGCAAGGCCUCAUUCUUGACCUGUAGGUCAUGAAUUCCAAGGCCGCCUUGGUCUUUUGGCCUACAAACCAUGCUCCAUUUGGCCAACCGAUAUUUUUUCUUUUCUCCAUCUCCUUGCCAAAAAAAUCUGGAUCUAAAAUAAUCCAAUCUUUGCAGGACCCUUUUGGGAGUUGGAAGAAAGAAAGCAUAUAGAGAACCAUAUUUGUGAGAACAGAGUUAAUCAAAACCAGCCGUCCUCCAACUGAGAGCAGGUUGCCUUUCCAACUGCUCAAUCGUUUCUCUAGACGCUCCUCUACAUGCUUCCACUCUGUAAUGGUGCGACGCCGAUAGUGGAUCGGUAUUCCCAAAUAUUUAAACGGGAAUUGGCCAUGUGCGCAACCAAAGAGGUCAGCAUAAUCGGCAGCCGCCUCAACGGCUUCUCCAAAGCAGAAAAGUUCACUUUUAUGGAAGUUAAUUUUGAGACAUGACAUUUGCUCAAACGCUGAGAGCAAGAGUUUUAGGUUUCGAGCCUUGUCUAGGUCAUGUUCCAUAAAAAGAAUUGUGUCAUCGGCGUAUUGCAGAAUAGAGAGGCCACCAUCCACAAGAUGUGGCACUACUCCUUCUAUCUGGUCGUUCUGCUUAGCACGCUCAAUCAGAAUAGCCAACAUGUCAGCAACAAUGUUAAAUAACAUUGAAGACAUGGAGUCACCCUGUCGUAGUUCUUUUUUUGGUCUGAAGGUAAUGGCCUACAUCAUCAUUGACUUUGAUGGCCACGCUACCUCCAGUUACCUUCUUUUUCUUGUUUGGAAGAAUACGUUGUAUGAAGCUUUAAUAAGGAAAACAGAGUACAAGCACUGGAAUAAUAAGUACCCUCCGAGGUCCGAGCUGUCUUCCUCCUCACAUCGAACCCCUGAAGCCACCUCAACCUCAUCUGUGUGCCGUCCGUACAGGCCACAGUGGACCGUUGAACAGGACCCUCUAGGUUGCUCUGUCCUCCACCUUCCACAACUAAGCAGCACCCUCUGGCUUCCACCUCCGUCACACCCUCACCUACGCCCAGGCAAGGAGGCCACGACCAAUUUAUUUUCUUGCCAUCCCCACCGCCGAAGCCGAAGAAAACAACAAUAAGACCCACCGCCACAGUUCUACAAGGGUAGUGAACCUUUGUGUUCUGGAUAAAGAUAAUUACGCCUAUCAAUAUGUGUGAUGAAGUAAUUUUGAACAAAACAUUUAUAAAUUGGAGUACAUAAGUACAUAAUAGUUUGACCUUAUCAUUAUACAAAAUUAUUUAUUUUCAAACUUAGUUGUUGUUUUUCAAAUAUAUAUGUGAUUAUACUGAAAUAAAAAAUAUGAAGUUAUGCACUUAAUGUUUUACCCUAACCAAUUUUCCUUAAGCUGGAAACAUAUCUAAUACAACAAGACACAUAUAUGAAUGACAUUUGAGCCUUCAAGUUUGAUAGUGGUCCUCAUUGACCUUGAAUUCCUGGCACCGAAACUUCUAAUCCUUGCUAUUUUAGAUUCAAUGCUUUUUUGGCACUCCAAGAAUAUGACGAAUCCUAAAUAGAAGAUAUGCCGGUGCUAGACAAAAACAUGCAUACUUUGAUCAAGUUCUAUUUUGAUUUCUAAAUAUUUUACUAAAUACAAACUUUAAAUAGAUGAAGAAGAAUUCAUCUACAUUUGACCAAAAAAUACCAGUCGACCAUAAAGUCUAAUAUUAAUGACCGCCAUGAGAAUGUUCAAAUCAAAUCUGGAUUUUAUAUGUUAGAAAAUGCAACAAACUUUAUGGCUUAAAAUAGACUUCUCCCUAAUAUCAGCAACCAUUUCGCCAAUGACUAACAAUUAAGCCGACGAUCUCUUGCAGUUCUCCAUCAAGAAACAUUUAGCAGUUAUGAUGCCUUGUAUCACAAUAGGGCCCAAGUUCACAAUGGCUAACAAGAUGAAGACGAUGAGAGAGGAACUGCAAGGGAUCACAGAUCAAUACCAGAAAUUCAAGUUAGAGCCGGGCACUAAUGCCGAUGAGCCAAAUGUAAUACAAAUGCGUGAAACAUCAUCAACCAUUGAGGCAUCAAUCAUUGGGAGGACUGAAGAAGAAAAUAAAAUAUGGGUUUAUUUAUCUGAGAGCAUAAUAGAAGAGCUCAUUGUCCUUGCUAUACACGGCAUUGGAGGCCUUGGCAAGACGACCUUGGCGAAAAUGAUUUACAAUAAUAAAACAAAAUUUGAAGACUACGUCCGGGUAUGGAUUUAUGUAUCCGAGACAUUUGAUUUGAACAAAAUUGGCAAUUCUUUAAUAAGUCAACUGUCAGAAAAUGAGACUUCGUACAGUGAGAAGCAGAUGAUACACAGAUCACUUGCAAAGCUACUAGCCAAUAAGAAGAUUCUGAUUAUUCUAGAUGAUUUGUGGGCAGACGAUGAUUCUCAAUUGGAUAGCCUGACUGCCAUGCUUAAGGUUGGAAAGGGUAGCAAGGUGGUUGUUAUAGCAACCACACGCAAUGAGGAGAUUGCAAGGAAAAUUUCUGCCAUUCAUACUCAAACAAAAAUUUCGACCAUUCCCCCACAUGAGCUAGCAUCACUGACGGAUGAGAUGUGCUGGACUAUAAUAAAGCAAAAAAGUGGCCUUGAAUCUAGAGACGACAAAGAACAGUUGAAGGACAUUGGGGAAGCCAUUGCAGUGAAGUGUGGAGGCGUGGCUUUAGCUGCUCAAUCAAUUGGACCCAUUCUGGAAACUAUGACCUAUCAUCAAUGGAAGAAAGUGAGAGACAGUGAUAUCUGGAAAGUAUCUGCUUCUUCUUUAGAUCCAAAAGAUAAAGCUGCAAGACGGGUGCUUGCAUCCUUGAGGUUAAGCUAUACUUUUAUGCCUCAGUAUUUGAAGCUCUGCUUUGCCUAUUUGUCAAUCUUUCCAAAAGGAUGCAAGAUAUCUAAAGAUGAUCUAAUUCACCAGUGGAUUUCUCUUUUCUUUUAUUGGGGCAACACCAAUGUUCACUGCUUGGGAGCUUGGCGAGAUGUACAUUACACAGCUUUUGAAGCUUUCCUUCCUUGAACAUUCGAAGGUAAUUGGUGUUGGUGGGGAAUUCAUAAGAUGCUUGUUUAUAUGGUGCACAUGUUUAUCCGAUCUUUCAGUGGUUAAUGCAUUUUACAACAUACUCAACUUAUUGACGUGACUAAUUAGAAAAUUUCAGUUGCUCGUACACACACCACGACACACACUAUAUAAGCAUAUACCCACACAUAACAGCGCACUGGAGGUCAUCCCUGAUUAUUUUGAUUUCUUAUUUUAUUUUUGUAUAUGCUAGCAAAGAAAAAAAAUCUUAUAGAAAUAAUAGCUGAAGGGGAAAAAGUAAUGCUCAACUUUGGUUGCAUUAUAUCUUAUAUAAGUAAGAGUCAUAUUUUAAGUUUUGGUCCAAGCGAAACUUUGCUAUUUUGCAUAGGGUAGAGGGGUAUUUGUGCUUACGCCAGCUAGCAUCAUUGAUUAGUACAAUAAGUUCUUAUAGACUAAAUAAAGUAUAUAGAAGUAUUUUAUUUAACCAUGCACAACUCUCACUUGAGAUGGACGCAACAAAUAGUAUUCUUUACUACUCCCAAGCGCAAAAAUAAUGCUCAAAGAAGCACUUUCGUACAAAGGCAUUUUAUCAUAUGUAAUUUCUAUAAGUGUAAUUAAACCGAUUGUACCACACAAUUGCGUAGCUUAAUUUGCUCCAGCAUGCUACCCACUGCCAAAUUUGUUAGUGCAUCAAAUGCUUGAAAUAUAAAAAUCUAACACUGCUAAUGGCUUUUGUUUCAGAUUGCAAGAUCGUUCUAUGACGAUGCCAAUGUUACAGCGUUCACCAUGCACGACUUGGUGCAUGAUCUAGCAAGGUCGGUUAUGGGCGACGAAAUUCUUCUGGCUGGCAAUGAUGGCAACAUUGAGGGAAACCGCUGCCACUAUGCGCUGCUCAAUGAUUGUAGAGAGCCAUUGGAGUUACGGAGGAUAAGGGCAAUCCGUUUUAUGGGUUCGGAUGAAAUUCGACUUGAUGAUGCUGCAUUUUCCUCUGCUAAAUCCCUGCGUGUCUUGGACUUGAGCGAGUGCUCCAUUCAUGAAUUGACAAAAUCAAUUGGCCGAUUGAAGCAGCUGAGGUAUCUUAAUGCUCCAAGAGUACAACAUGAAGUUAUUCCGGAUAGUAUCACUAGGCUGUCAAAACUACUUUAUCUCAGUCUUCGAGAUUCUUCUCUAUCUGCACUGCCAGAGUCAAUUGGAGAAAUGGAGGGUCUGAUGUAUCUUGAUUUGUCAGGCUGUAAGAGAAUCAAAGAACUGCCAGAAUCAUUUGGGAAGCUAAAAAAGUUGGUUCAUCUUGUUUUGUCAAAAUGCUCUGCUUUGGAAAAUAUAUGGAAGUUCAUGUGGAGUUUCACGGACCUGCAAUAUUUGAACUUAUCAAGUUGUUAUUCUAUUCGAUCGCUACCAGAAUCUCUUGAUGGUCUUACUAGUCUACAAUACUUAAAUCUACAUGGGUGCCUUCGAUAUGGUGAAAAUGACAGUUUGAUUGACCGUAUCAGUGCCCUUUCCAAUCUGGAGCAUUUGGACUUGUCUUUUAAUGAUGGUAUUACUGCUAUACCUGAAAGUUUUUGUAACCUGAGAAAGCUGCACACACUGGACCUCUCGUACUGCAUGAAGAUUCAGAAGAUACCAGAAAGCAUAGGUAGAAUUGAUUGUUUGAAGACCCUAUAUUUACGGGGCUGCUAUGGUCUGGUUGAAAAACCUGUACCUCAUCCUAGUACCAGUUUCGUAUCAUUACCACUUUUUCAGGUGCGCGUUAGAGAUGGUGAAUCGAGCAGCAAUCUUAUCUGCUUAAAGGACACGAAUCCUCCGGAGCUGGAAAUAGUCUGGCUUGAAAAUGUGAGGUCCGCAGAAGAGGCUCAGGGUAUAAAGUUGAUGGAAAAAAGCAAUCUCGAAGCAUUGGAAUUGUCAUGGACUGUAGGUGCUGAGAGGUUUGUGGAUGAUAAAGUGUUGUUGGAGAAACUAGUGCCACCGAAAAGUGUAUACGAGUUGCCAGCUUGCCAACAUGGGUCGGCCAACAGAAUAGUUCGCUGACACUAAGCGGCAUGGAACAUCUGGAAGAGUUGAGUCUGUCAGACUCCAGUCGCAUGUCUUCUAAGUUGAGCAUAAACAAUUGCCCCAAGUUGAGGAUGGGGCCACUUCUUCCUAGAGCAGUUCGCAGCUUGAGGAUAGAAAGGAGUGAUAAUGUGCUGUCAUCAUGGGGAGAGUGUACAAUGUCAAGCACCGGUGCUUCCUCCUCCUCUUCUUCUUCAGUACUAUUAACUACUGCAACUAGUCUGACAGUUGUAGACAGUGAGCUGCCCAUGCAGCAGUGGAGACCGCUUCGCCACCUCUCUGGCCUCGAGAAUUUAUACAUCACGAGUUGUUCUGACCUGACAGUCUCCCCUGACAUCAUCCCACAUCUUUCCUCUGUUGAGCGUCUGUUCAUAAACAGAUGCGACAUCUCAUCACUGCCGCAUUGGGUCAUGGACUUGACCGGUCCCGAGCACCUUUGGAUCGGUGGUUGUGAAGGCAUCAGGUCUUUGCCGGAGGGCAUACAACAACUCCCCAAGCUCCGAAUACUUCGGAUUAGCAGAUGCCCUGGUUUGAAGAAGUGGAGCGAAUCCGAGGAAAACAAGAUGAAGCUCGCUCACAUAGAAAUUAAGGUACUUGUCCGGUUCGGCCAUGCUAUCUUGUGUAUCGAUCUUAUUCUUUUUAUGGCUGCUCCUUUUUCUUUUUGCAAUAUUAGUAUAGAAAUACAUUAUGUUUCUAUUUCUCUCGGAAAAUUGAAAGCAUGUGCUUCAUAUGAUAUAUUCCUUACAUGAAAAAAAACGCCUAUAUUCAUAUGUAAUGCGUUUUUGGUGUGUUGUGCCGUUGGGGUCACCCUAGUCGGCACCCUUCAAGUGCUUUGACAUCCGCACUUCAUAAUGUAAAAGGUUCUAUUUCUCUCUUUUACAGGACUUUGAUUGAAGCAAGCACAGAGAGAACGGUCUAUCUAGGCUUGGACCCAAGUGGGAACUUGAGCCACGUGCACAAAAGGUUCCAGCCCUCAAGAGGAAAACUGACGAUGCUCUUACUUUCCACCGUGUCAGGCCGGCUACUGCUUGGUUCUGUUCUCAUUGCUGUGAGAACUACGGUGGUGCUUGGUCUGCAGCCGCUGUGCUUGCCUAUUCCGUAUGUAUUUCUUCUGUAUCAAAAUAUAAAAUGUUCUUUGACACUGCUGUGCCACUGAUUCUAUUGCAUCAACGUGUCACGCCGGCAAGGUGUGCAUAUUGCCAUAGUGCAUUGUUGUGGUAUGGUUGUAUUACACCUGGACAGGUUUCUUGCCAAUCUGAAUGCUUGCUCCAUGAGGGUCCACGUAGCAUAUGGCCUUGUGCAAUUUUACACACGACUACCACAUUUCUCAGCCAAGGAUGCAUGGCUUGACAUUUUGUUUUUGUUUUGGGAAUGCAUGGCUGGGUAGAGGUUCCAAGUUCGGACGCUCUUUCUCUCUCACGUUUUGGGACUAGGAGCCCCCCUGUGAACAUGGGCCAAGGCUUUUCACGUCAGAUCGUGGACAGACUCGACAUGAACGCGUCAUGGCACGCAGCGGGGUUGCUCUUCUCCCAUCCCGCCUCACGGGUUUCUCCGUUGCGAUGAGAUGCGUCACGGCCACACGGGUUGGCUGGGCCCGCCCAAGGCUACCUCGCCCUAACCCUGCGAAUAGAAAUGGUCGUGGUCAUGAGAGCAACUUUAACUUUAAUGGGACGACCCAUUUCGUUCGCUGGCGUCCGUUCGGAUCGGCCCGGACAGAAAAAACGGCCCAACUCGUCAACCAUCAUUUUGAGCUGGAUUUGCUUCGGCGCGGACAGAAUGGGUCGUCCGUAUGGCGACCCAUUCCCGGCCCAAUUUUGAGCCGGAUUUGCUUCGACGCGGACACGAGAAGGACGCGCGUGCCUACUCCUCUCCCCGGGCCCGCUGGUUGGUGGCAGCCACCAUCAUUUUCCCCCAUUUUCCCCCAAAACCCUCCCGCCCCACACCCGCCAUGGAGGACGCCAUCGACCUCGACGCCGCCGCCGGCCUCGCCUCCCUCGUCUCGUCCGGCGCCGCUGCCCCGUCCGGGAAAGGCAAGCCUCGUGCCCCUCGCAAGACCGCCGCCGCGGCCAAGCCAAAGAAGCCGCUGACGCCCGCACAGUGGGCAAGAGAGUCGGCCGCCGCGGAUGCGAGGGAUGAGGCCGCCGUCGCCGCUGCCGCGCAGCAGGAGGUCACCAACACCCGCGUCGCGGCGGCAACGAGGGAGGCGCUCUACAUACUAGGGUUAUACCCUAGCCAGCACAGCCUCCUCAACGCCACCGCGCCGCGGCCAGCACCGGCUCAUCGGCGUUUCCUCGGAUGGUGCUGCCCAACUCGCCCCGCGCGUCGGCUUGCAACCCCAGAUGCCCCACUUCCACGUGUACCCGCAGGCCUCCCGUCUCUCCGGGGAGUGCUCGCCCGACGUGAGCGUGGUCGCGCCUUCCACGCCCGCGCCCGCGCCCAUCGACCUCAACGCCACCCCGGUGGCCGGUGGCUCGUCAUCCAGUGGUGCAAGUAAACUCGCGCGGCAGACGCCGGCCAAGCGUGCUCCCGGACACCCGCAACCUGUUCGAGGGAAUGUCGUCCGUCGUCGACGAGGACUACAUGCAGAACCUCAUCUUCGAGGACGGAGCGCCGACCGUUGGCUAUGAUCCCGACCAGGCGGCCUUCAUGCGUGAUCAGGUCGGCAUCGACCUGGACGGCUUCCCACUCGACCACGAGUUCCCAAAUGACUACGGGCUAGAGGAAGAGGACGAGUGCGACAUCGAAGUGGAACCUUUGUUCGAGGACGAGCUUGCCAACCAAGUCGCCGGUCCUAAGCCAAAACGUAAGAGCAAGCGCGCGAAGGCAUACACGGCUACCGAGGACAAGCUUCUUUGCGAGUGCUGGCGAGACAUUGUACAAGACCCCAAGACGGGCGCCGAACAAAAGCAUUCAAUCUUUUGGAUUCGUGUCCACCGCGAGUUUCAUGAGCGCAAGAAGUUUCCGCCUUACCAAUUUGUGAGCACGCGUGGGUGUCCAUUUCCAAGCAAUGGAGGGUGAUCCAACAAGAGUGCAACAAGUUUUGCACCACUCCUGAGAGCAUCAAGGCCCGCCCCGUGAGCGGCAUCGGCAUGCAAGACAUGGUAUGCUAGCAAGCCGCCCUCUUUUGUGUCAUCAAGUUCAUGCUUGCAUGUUCAUUUGCAUAUCAUUUGCCCAUAUACUUGCAUGGAAACAUUUUGUAGGCAUUUCAAGCUUUGGAGGCAUUUAAGGUUCAACACAAUGGCAAGUGCUUCAACCUCUCCCAUUGCUUUCGGGUCAUCAAGGACGAGGAGAAGUUCAAGGCGCAAUAUGCCGCCCUCAAGUCGCGUGGGGGGAAGCAAGCCGUGGAGGAGGUUGGGGAGGGCGAGCCGGCACGGCCGCGGGGGAAGACCAACUCGAAGAAGGAGCACAAGCGGGAUGCGGCAUCCAACGCCUUGAUCGCAAGCGUGGAGGGCAUGAUGAACAAGAAGGACUCAAGGGAGGAGGAGCGCCGGCGUUUCAAAGAAGAGCAAAUGAACGCCUUCAUGGAGAUCCAAAGGAGGCUUGAGAUGGACGCGGAGAUGCAAGCCAAGCAGCUUGAGAUGGAGGCGGAGAAGCAAGCCAAGAUGCUAGAGAUCGAGGCCACCAACGCCAAGACCAAGGCGAAAGAAGUGGCGCUCGUGAGCAUGAUGACCGGGGUGGAGAUCAUGAAGGUGGAUCUCAACACCAUGUCGCCAAGGAAAAGGCCGUGGUUCGAGAAGAUGCAGGACAACAUGCUCAAGUUCGACGACGAGGGAUCUAUGGCGGCGAGCGCCAUCUUUUUUGUAUGCCGGCAGGUGUGCUGGCAUGACCACGAGCGCCGCGAUGGCGUGGUCGAACUCAAGUCCCACCCUUUUUUGUGUGCUGGCAUGUGUGCCGGCCGGCUGGCGAGUGCGCCAGCAUGAACUGUGGUGAUAAUUUUUAAAGCCGGCACUGGCAUGGUGCUGGCAUGUGACAUGGCCGCUGGCAUGAUCGGCCGUGGGCCUUUUUUUUAAAGUUGAGUACGGACAUGAAAUGGAUCGGCGCGUUGGGCGCACUGCCGACCCAAAUGCAAAACUGCACGGACGCCGGGCGGGCGGCCGAACCAAACGGACAAAAGGCGGACAAAUGCCCCGUCCGUUUAGGUCGGCCCGGUCUUGAUGGUAUUACACAUUAUGUGUGGAUUUUCCUGUUCGUCGCAAAUCCGAUGUUCACCGUCUACUCGUUCUCUGCUAUGCCUACGUCAAAGCCCAAUUCUAUCGCCCUAUCAUCGCUUUCCAAACUAACAACGGACGUGAAUUCGACAAUCCUGCAAAUCGCUCACUCCUUGCCGCCCACGGCACCCUUCUUCGCCCAACAUGCCCACAGCCCUUCGUGUAAAAAAAACCUGGUUCUUCUGCUCCAGCACUUCUCUGCUAAUUAUUUGUUUGAAUAACUACACGUACUACACAAUAUGGCUUUGGGAGGAAAAUCUCCAAGGAGGGUGAUGUUUACAGCUAUGGAGUCAUCAUCUUGGAGAUGCUCACAGCGAAGCGUUCAACUGAUGAGAUGUUUAAACAUAGCCUGAGCCUUUGCAAAUUUGUGGAUUUCCGGAGAAGAUUUGUGAGAUUAUUGAUCCCAGAAUCAUCUUCUAUUCUGGGAACCAUGAUGAAGAAGAAGAAGCAGUAAGCAUAUUAUUGGACCAGGAAAAUGAGCAUGUGGCUGCAGGAACAAUGAGCUGCAUCACCGCUCUAAUUAAGCUUGGCCUACUAUGGGCCGCGGAGCCGCCUAAAGAUCAUCCAGAGAUGCAGCAUGUUUACAUCGAAGUCACCACAAUCAAAGAAGCAUUUUCAGCACUGCAGGGCUGAAGAAAAGUACAACCAUCAGUAUCUAUCAGUUGCCCACACACUGCUGGUCUGGUGCAUGAUGACCUACGACUAGUUUUCUCUACACAAGGCCUUAUUUUAUUUUUCUACAUCGAAAGUAUGCUAUGUGGUGAAUUAUCUUCCAAUUGACUAGCACAUGUGUAUUGGUACUGAAGGCAAACUAUAGUUGAGCCUAUAUAAAAUAAAGUUCAGCAUGCGGAAUUUUCUUUGGACUUGGUUGUUUGUUCCUACACCUAAACUUGUGUUACUUUAAGGUGUAAAGCCAACUAUGAACUAACCACACCCAUGUAAAGAUGUUAAACUUGCACAUCAGACUGUUAAAGUUGAAAACUGAAACGCAUGUGCAAACGAUAUCAUGUUUCUGUCACACAAAUAGAAGAAUUUUUCGAGAAGACAGUUUUGAUCUGAGCGGCGGUGAGAAGAGGAGAUUACUAAUAAAGCUAGCAAAAUCAGCAGACUAUUACAAAGAGAAAGGAGAAGACUAGUAUAUCCAGGGAGAAUUAUGGACACCCAUGCAGUAACUGAAACAAAAUAAUUGUGGAAGGGCUACCAAUCAGAAAUAACAGUAAUGAUCCAUACAUGACGUACCUUCUCUCCACGUGUAACAAGUCUCAUUGCAACUUGUGCUGCUGUAAACACAGCAGCAAGAACAUCAGCUGCUCUUCCAGUAACUGGUCAUUGUGUAUGAUCAGCCGCCACAGCAAUAACACUGUUAGUAUGGCAAUCAAUAUCUCUAUCAAUGGAAAAAUAAAAGGAUAAACACAUGAUAGAAAAGGCUAAAGCAAGACAAUAAAUUUUGACCAUAUCAUUUUCAGUGGCAGGGGAGACAAGUACUGUUCACAGAUAACCGUGUCGGGAAAGCAAUGCCCCUUUCAGACUUCUUCUGUCAGGAGUGAUAACGAAUCCAGCAAGGAAGCAAUAAGGAAGAUGUUAUGGAAAACAAAACUGGAUCCAUUACUCUGUUAUAUGAUUUGUGAGGUUCUAGAUCCUAGAAUCGUCAAUCUCUUUUGUGGGACCCAAGGUGAAGAAGAAGCAGGGAGUACAUUAGACCAGGAAAAUCAUCAAAUGGCUGCAGGAACAAUGAUUUUCAUCAUCGCUCUCGUUAAGAUUGGUCUGCUGUGUCCUGCAGAGAUGCCUAAAGAUCGUCCAACAAUCCAGGAAUUGAAGUCACAACAAACAAAGAAGCAUUUUCAGCACCGCAGGGCUGAGCAGAAGUACAACCGUCCGUGUCUAUGGACUGCCCACACACUGCUGGUUUGGUGCAUGACAACCUACGACUAAUUUCCCGUGCAUAGGGAAAUUCGAGUGCUAUGUUGUACUCCCUCCGUCCGGAAAUACUUGUCAUCAAAAUGAAUAAAAGGCGAUGUAUCCAGAUGUAUUUCAGUUCUAGAUACAUCUCUUUUUAUCCAUUUUGAUGACAAGUAUUUUCGGACGGAGGGAAAUUCGAGUGCUAUGUUGUACGUAUUUCCUAGCUCAAAGGUUAUAGUCUCUGUUUGUUUACUACUAGAGGGUGGAACCAGCCUAGUAGCAAGGCAAAUGAACUAGGGCAAUUUUCCAGAACCUGAAUACAACAAACAGCGGUUGGCGAAACGGGCCACGGUCCAGAGGACACAGCGUGUCCACCGGGCAAGCGGCAAUCCCGGGAGGCAUCUCACGAUGCAGCAUUUGGGGAGCCGUUGCAGACAUGAAACAAACAGGAAACCGCAGCCGAACUUGCGCCCCGAGGCCAAGCUCACGCGGUGGCUGCGCGCGGAGCGAAACAGCUCAAGCCCUGCCGCACCGUCAGGAAGCAGCUCGUCCCACGCGGAGGACACCAGACCUUCGGACGAACACCUCGAGGGCACCUGCUCGACAGCUACCAGAACGGAAGACGCUGGGCGCCGCGUAGGCGGAGCAAAGCCCGAAUAGGAAGAAGGGCGCUUGUGUGAGGCCGCGCAAUACCUACUAAGUCGACGGAGGCACAGCACCCGCCGCCACCGAGGUCGAGCAGGUGGCGUGCACCUCCGCAGCAGCGACGCCAGAGGCACGGAGGACAACCGACGGCAGCUCUAUCAAUCUUGAGCUGAAGUGGCGGAGAGAAGAGGCGAGGGGGAGAACGGGAGAUGAGGGGGAGGCAGGGGAAGUGGCCAUGCCGAGGAAAGAUGACUAGGCGGCGCUAUUUCAUUUUUCGAAACGCGCGCGCACACAAACUCCUCUGCUUCCUCUGUUCUAUGUGCCCCUGCUACGCUCUUCACUUUGUCUUUCACUCUUUCUUCAAGUCAGAGUCUGUGUAUGUGAGGUGCAUCACCGCUCUUAAUACACGUGGCCUGAUAUACAGGUGUAAGGAAGGGCACCAGGUGGCAUGGAGGUUGUAUAAGCACGGACCAUCGGUCGAACAGGUGGCGUGCACCUCCGCAGCAGCGACAGCAGAGGCGCAGAUCGGUGGCGAGGCGGGGCGAGCGGAGUAGCAUUUGGCGGCGCGAGGGAGAACGGCCCUGCGGAGGACAGCCACGGCAGCUUAGCAGUGUUGAGCUUGAGCGUAAGCGGCGGAGAGUGAAGCCAUGACGGAUGCAGUGUUAGGCCUGCACUUUCAGCUACAACUGUUUCACUUCUUCAGUUAACGAACGGCCAGGAUCUCUGCUAUCGCCAUCGAUCCAACGGCUCGCGAGGCUCGCCGUAUCACUGUACCGUUUUGUUGUAACUGUAGCUUUUCAUUCCCGUUAUAGUUGUCACCAUUGCCAGCGUAGCUAUAAAGCUAGCGGCCCCCGUCUGUAAGAGGCAUGCCAUUAUUCGAGAAUUCUCUCUGAUACAAUCAUAUAUCUUACAGUAAUACAAACCCUAGCUGCUACUUUCCCCUUCCUUUGCGUGAGAUCUGUUUGUUCUAGCUCAAUUCCGCCUUUGAUUCCCUCUCGGGGCGUGACAAUUGGUAUCAUGAGCGUAGGUUUUCCUCGGCGGCGCGACAGAUCGGAGCUGCGACGGUGAUUUCCCACCCUUCCCUCCCUUUCUCGUCGGCAGCGGAGGUGCUGGUGGCGAUUGGCGGCGGAGUAGGAGGCGCAGGCGGCGGUAGACCUAUUCGACGGCAGCACGUUGAGCCCGACUGGUUGUUUGAGCACACCGCUCACUCUGUAAAAUCCCAGGUCGUGCGACGUGUGGUGCUGUUUCGGCGGCGAUCUCGUUCGGCGGCGGCGGCAGGGUAAGCGUUCAGAUCUGGUUCCCAGUUCGUCCUGGAGGUAAAAUUCCCCUCUGAACGGCUUUCCCAAGAUGGGGCGUGCGAAGAAUAGCCUCGAUGAAUCAGAGGUAGCUGAACUCCUAGCCAUGAAAGGGGAAUUCCUGCAACACCGCGAGGAGACCACAGAGCUUCGUGGCGAAGUGGAUGAUCUGCGCAAGGACGUGCACGGCAUUGGCCUCAAGCAGGACACCAUGGUCUCAGUCAUGGAUGGAGUACAGAAAGCGGUCUCGUCCCUGAAUACACAGCUUGCAGCCAUGGCAGAUGUGCUCAAAUCCCUGUCAAAUCCAGUUGCGUCAACGUCAGCACACCCGGGCCAACCCGCAGCAGAACAACAGCAAGUCCACAAGGAAGCCAACGCGCCAGAAGACAGGCCACUCACAGCAGAACUGCGGAAAUGUUUGGAGGUUGAGCAGGCCAAAACCCGUCAAGUUGCUGCACAAAUCCCACCAAACCUUCCACCGAUUCAGGUCCCUAGGCCUUCUGUUCCUCCUGGUUAUGGGGCGACCAUCCCGCUGGACGCCCCCUCUGCAAAUGCAACUCCUACAGCUGCAUACAAAACUGCGCGUACCCCCACUUUCCACAACUUUCAACCACCUGUAGUGCGCCAAGGCUGGGAUGAUUUUCAGCGACAGUAUGAACAGGAAAUGAGGACUCAGUUUCUCAAGAGUAUCACCAAAGGCCCGCGCAUGGAUUUCCCACGCUUUGAUGGUGAAAACCCAGCCGGUUGGAUUCGGCAGUGUGAAAAAUAUUUUCAGAUGGCAGGCGCACCAGCAUAGUUCAAGGUCAAUUUGGCUCAAUUGUACAUAGUGGGCAGGGCAGAUGUGUGGUUACGCCGAUCGGGCAUCCUAAAAAAAACAACUAUCAUGGGCACAAUUCUGCGAAGAAAUUCUCCGACGGUUCUCAUCAGCAAGCUCUUAUGACCCGACAGAGAAGUUCACAAAUCUGAAACAAAAUACACUCACCGUGUCAGAAUACACAGACCAGUUUGAGGAAUUGAUGGCAGAAGUACAAGCUGAAAACCCUAUUAUGGACGAAAGCUGGUUUAUCAGGUGCUAUGUAAAUGGACUUCGCUCUGACAUAAAGUUUCAGUUACGGCCAUUGAGGCCCUCAUCACUGGCUGAUGCUUACUGGCUGGCAGUCGACUUGAAAAAGGGCCAACCAGAGAAAAAGGCUUAUAACACAUAUUCCAGUACUGGCAAGAGCUCUGGCAAUUAUCAGAAACCUUACACUGUUCUACCUGACAAAGCAGCUGAAAACAAGACAACAGUAGCUAACCAAAGAGCAAGAGAGCCUGGCAAAUGCUGGAGAUGUGGAGAUGUGUGGUUUCAUGGUCAUAAAUGCAAGAUGGCACCUGUAUUAAAUGUUCUCACUGGUGAAGAGCCACCAGAGCAACAGAAAGAACAAGAAGUUUUAGAAGAACCUGAACUGGAAGAACAACCAGAAACUGAAGAACACUGCAUGACAAUAUCAGCACAGGCCAUGCAGUCAGACAAUGUUAACACCAUUUCCAUCCUGGUGCAGAUAGGGGGAAAACAGGGCAUAGCUUUAGUGGAUUCUGGAAGUAAUUCAACUUUCAUCAGUCUCCAAUUUGCACUGUCCACUACUUGCACAAUUCGUAAAGACACCUCUAGAGCUGUUACUGUAGCAGGAGGAGGGACACUGUGGUCUGGUUCUUUUGUUCCAACAACCACUUUUAUAGCAGGUAACACUAAAUUUCAGCAACAGGUCAGAGUACUGGAUCUCCCUGGUCAUGACAUGGUGCUGGGCAGUGAUUGGAUGGCCAGGCACAGUCCUGUUUCCUUUCAUUAUAAUCCUAGACAGAUCACUGUAAUGAAGGACAAACUGACACCUGUCACUAUAAGGGCUUGUGAUACAUUAGCUGAUGCUACAACAAUUGAAGCUGAUGAAGUACAAAAGCUUCUCUCAGCAGGAGCACCUGGUUAUGUGCUACAACUCAUUAGAGAUACCACCUUGAAGAAACCUGACAACAACACUGUUCCUCCACCUGUGGCAGAGGUUAUCCAACAGUUUCCUGAGGUUUUUCAAGAGCCAAAGGGCCUCCCUCCCAAAAGAGCACAUGAUCAUAAAAUUCCAUUGAAAGAACAAGCAAAACCACCUAAUUCCAGACCUUACAGAGUGCCCCAUAUGCAAAAGACUGAGCUAGAAAGACAAAUUGAUGCUAUGCUCAGAGAUAAGAUUAUAAGAGCAAGUGAGAGCCCUUACUCCUCCCCAGCAAUCCUGGUCAUGAAAAAAGAUGGCACCUGGAGAAUGUGCAUUGAUUACAGAAAAUUGAAUGAUGCUACUAUCAAAAAUAAAUUUCCAAUACCUGUCAUUGAGGAUCUCCUUGAUGAACUGCAUGGAGCAACUUACUUCACCAAGUUGGACCUCAGAUCUGGCUAUCACCAAGUGAGAAUGCAUGAAGAGGAUAUACCCAAAACAGCCUUCAGAACUUACUUUGGUCAUUAUGAGUUCUUGGUCAUGCCUUUUGGACUUGCCAAUGCACCAGGAACAUUUCAAGCACUUAUGAACAGUAUAUUUGGGCCCUACCUCAGAAAGUUUGUGUUGGUCUUCUUUGAUGAUAUCUUAAUCUUCAGCAAAUCAUUGUCUGAGCACAUUGCACAUCUGCAACUAGUGUUGCAGCUGCUGAAAGAACACCAGCUCUUUGCAAAAAUGACUAAAUGUGUGUUUGCAGUUCAGAACGUGGAGUACCUGGGUCAUAUCAUAACUGGUGAAGGAGUUUCCACUGACCCCUCAAAGGUUGCAGCAGUUGCUGAUUGGCCACUGCCUACUACACCCACACAGCUCAGAGGAUUUCUAGGCCUAUGUGGUUAUUACAGAAGAUUUGUUAAAGAUUUUGGCACAAUUGCAAGACCACUACAUGAUGUGCUGAAAAAGGACAGCUUCCAGUGGACACAAAAACAAACCACAACUUUUCAGAACUUGAAACAAGCUAUGAUCAGUGCUCCAGUACUAGCCCUCCCAAAUUUCUCUGAACCUUUUACCUUGGAAACAGAUGCUUCUAGCACUGGCUUGGGAGCUGUCAUGAUGCAGCAUGGCAGACCACUAGCUUACUACAGCUCCACCCUCUGUCCCAAAAAUGCUGCCCUCUCUACAUAUGAAAAAGAAGCUUUAGCAAUCAUUGUUGCAUUAAAGAGAUGGAGACACUACUUCCUGGGUAAUGAUCUCAUCAUCAAAACUGACCACCAGAGCUUGCAGUAUAUGACUGAUCAUAAAAUCACCACUGGAAUCCAGCACAAAUUGAUGCUCAAACUACUGGAAUUCAAUUUCACACUCCACUACAAGAAAGGCAAGGAAAAUAUUGUGGCUGAUGCUCUCUCCAGAAAAACACCUCUCAUGGCUAUGUCUUUAGUGACACCUCAAUGGAUUGCUGCUGUGGAAGAAUCCUACACGAAGGACAGUACUUGUCAAUCACUCUUGGAACAAUUACUUCUGUCCCCCCAACACUCUGUUAAUCAGAACACCUUGCACUCAGGAAUCAUCAGGCAUAAAGGAAAAAUCUAUGUGGGAAAAGAUCUGGAACUCAGGCAAAGACUUCUCACUGCACUGCAUGCUUCUGCUCUUGGGGGUCACUCAGGUAUGAAAGCUACAUACCACCACAUCAAACAAAUCUUUUACUGGCCAGGCCUCAAAAGAGAUGUUGAUCAGUUUGUGGCUGUGUGUCCUGUGUGCCAGAAAAACAAAGGAGAGAACUGUCCUUAUCCAGGCUAUCUAGAUCCACUCCAGCUCCUUGACAUGAUUUGGACACACCUGAGUAUGGACUUCAUAGAGGGAUUACCAGCAUCUAAUGGCAAAGAUGUGAUCAUGGUUGUGGUUGACAUACUGUCUAAAUUUGCACAUUUCAUUCCCCUCUCACACCCCUUCACAGUUCAAACGGUGGCUCAGGCGUUUAUCGAUCAUGUACUGAAACUGCACGGACCACCUCUGGCAAUAGUUUCUGAUAGAGAUCGAAUCUUCACCAGUCAACUCUGGCAGGACAUUUUUAAGGGCAUGGGAACCGAACUGCGUUUCAGUUCUGCUUAUCACCCAGAGUCUGACGGCCAAACGGAGCGUGUUAAUCAGUGCAUCGAAAAUUAUUUGCGUUGUUUAACUUCCUCCAAGCCUACGCAGUGGGCGAAACACUUAUCAAUGGCAGAGUACUGGUACAAUACAUCUUACCAUUCCUCUCUCCAGAAGACUCCGUUCGAAGCUGCUUAUGGUUUUCCACCUCCCAACAUUUUUGAAAACAUCUUGCCUGACAGUCUUUCAACUGAUGCUCUACAGUUUUUCACUGACAGAGAUGCGCCGCUCCAACACUUGAAAAGCAAUCUGUCUGCUGCUCAAGCACGUAUGAAAAAGUACGCUGAUCGCAAGCGCACUGAAAGGACCUUGGAAGUUGGUGACAUGGUCUACCUUAAAAUGCAGCCCUACCGGCUCAACGCCUUCGGUCUGCGCACACACAUCAAGUUACAAAGAAAAUACUACGGCCCCUUCCGUGUGAUGGCCAAAGUGGGGCAUGUAGCUUACAAGCUCUUAUUGCCGGACAGCACCAGCAUCCACCCCGUCUUCCACGUCAGCCAGUUGAAGAAACAUGUCGGCCCCAAGGCAGUCCCUUGCACUGAUCUACCACUGGUGCGAACUGACAGCCUGAUUCUGACCGAACCGGUGAUGGUCCUGGAAACUCGCCAAGUACCACGCAACAACUUGCCGGUGGUGCAGUGGCUCGUGCAGUGGGAAAACUUGCCACCCGAUGAAGCUUCCUGGGAGGAUGCGGCUUUCAUGAAGAAAACCUUUCCUGCUUUCUUCAAGGCCACCAUUGACCGUUGGUUCAAUCACUAAACUCCUUGGGGACAAGUUCGUUUUCGGCCGGGGGUAUUGUCAGGCCUGCACUUUCAGUUACAACUGUUUCACUUCUUCAGUUAACGAACGGCCAGGAUCUCCGCUAUCGCCAUCGAUCCAACGGCUCGCGAGGCUCGCCGUAUCACUGUACCGUUUCGUUGUAACUGUAGCUUUUCAUUCCCGUUACUGUAGCUGUCACCAUUGCCAGCGUAGCUAUAAAGCUAGCGGCCCCCGUCUGUAAGAGGCAUGCCAUUAUUCGAGAAUUCUCUCUGAUACAAUCAUAUAUCUUACAGUAAUACAAACCCUAGCUGCUACUUUCCCCUUCCUUUGCGUGAGAUCUGUUUGUUCUAGCUCAAUUCCGCCUUUGAUUCCCUCUCGGGGCGUGACAUGCAGUGGGGAGGACGCUGCUGUCAUGCCGAGGAAGGAGGGGGAGGCAGGGGAAGCGGCCAUGCUGAGGUCUGGUUUGGCCACGGCUGCCCAGCAACGGCUGCCGGCGGCCCCGGAUAGCCGGAGGUCUGGUCAGAUGCAGCGAGCCAUCCCGGUCGCGGAUAAUAACUGCGAGUCCCAUGCACCGUGCAGAUCCGUGGGGAGGACGGGAGAGGAGCUGGCAGGGGAGUAGGAACGAGGAACCUUCGGCCGGGGAGGCCAGCGGCGGCGGCGGCGGUCUGCUCAGACGCGGCGAGCCAUCCAGCUCCAGCUCGACGGAAUCAAUGGUGUGGCAGUGGCACCAUGCAUGUCCCGACUAACAAAGACACUGUGCCUUCUUUUUUUUAUCAUCAACAUUGUACUCCAUUUUCUUAUCAUCAAAUGCAGGCCAUUUAUUUGUUCAUAGCUAUUGACAAAGCUCGAAAGAUGUUUCGUGGAAGCCAAAACUCAGAGUUGCAUCAGUACACCACGGAUGAAUUCAAAAUUCAAAAUUUACUAGAAUAUACUCCCUCGAUGUCAAAAAACGUCUUCUAUUUUGAUACAGAGGGUGUAGUAUAGAUCAUUAGUACAUCGCCAAAAUUCAAAUUUGCAGAAAAUACAUAUCGUAGCAAGGUACCAUCAAUGGAUACUAUACGGUCUGUAUUCUGUAAGUCUCCUCUUGAAGUAUAAUAACUAGAUUGUCUUACUUCCCUUUUUCUUCGAUUGGGUCCCUGCUACAUUUGCUCAACACAGAGUGCAUGUAUAAUGUGAUACACUUAGCAAUGUCUUGUCUGCCAGUGGCAGACCUAGAUCUUAACCACAGGAGGUGCCAAUCUUCUCACUCACAACAAACAUGUCAUGAUGCCACAGGAAAAACAAAGCAAGUGAAAAAAGGGGUUGGAGUUGAGGCUAGAUUUCCAAUGAAAUCUAGUACACAUGAUUCCAUAGGAAAAAGAUCAUAUAUGACUCAAUCCGACCAAUGUAGGAGAAAAUACUAAGGAUUCUAAUGCUUCAAAAAUCUUAUGGAAUUCCUUUGAAUCAAAGGAGCCCGACUGCAGCUAAAAGGGUCCAGGAUGCACGAGACAAGUGCAAUAAGAGUGCCUCUUGAGCUAAUAUUUAGGCACACAUGCUAAGAUACAUAUUUUCAUUUUAUGGCACCUUACUUAUCACUGGGUUUUGCAGAUAUAAUGAUGUGUAAAAACUAUGGUCAGUCCAGCACUUCUGGAAAAAAAUAAUUGUUUUACGAUGGGCGUGCCUUUUUGGGCCUUGCCCAAUUCCCAAACCAGGCCAGCCCAGCCCAGUAGAUGGAUGAUGAUAGUAUCCGACUUCCAACGGAGACGAGGCCGCCUAUCAGGCUGCAACCUGCUUGAAGAAUCGAGUAAUUUAUUCUCAAUCAAAAAAUAAAAGAAUAAUCCUAAAUACUUCACAGUGCAGCUGCGCCGGAUGGACGCGGCGAGCGCACGCGCUAGAUGACAAAACUAGUUUGUUGUGUGUAAUAAACGCGUUAUCCACUGGGUAGUGUAAAGCACAUGCAUGUGCCAACGUCAUCUAUUUAUUCUGUUUCAAAUUUUCAAAAAGCUACAACUUUUGAACCGAGUGUCAGAACGCAGAACCGUUUUCACUGCAGGGUCCCUCGCGACGAGCUCUUCAAAACUAGAUCCCAUAUGAAUAUGUUUUGAUGAUUUUUUUUCGAAAGCAACUUUGAUGCUAGAUGAAGCAACAUUAGUGUUAAACAUGAGCAACUCUGCUGCUAGAUGAAUUGCACCGUGUGUAUGACUAACUUCGCCUAGUAGCCACCUAGUUAGUUGUGUGCAACAGUGUAAUAGGGGGGUCACCAUGAUUUCUAAGUUGCAUACAUUGGAAAAUAAGUUGUGGAUUGUUUAGUUGCCUAUCAUAAUGUGAAAAUUUCUUACCGUAGAGUGGAAACUCUAACAUGGCUUAUAAGUUGUCUACCGCAGAAACCAGGUUGCCCUUUCACUACGAAGUUGCCUACGAGUGAUCCUCAAUUUCUUACAAUACUAUGAAAGUUGUCCAUCAAGGGACCUAAGUUGCCUACAAUAUCGAAAAGUUUUCGUGGGUUUUAAGUCAUCUAUCAUGAUUUCAAAUUUUGAACUAUGUGGGGAUGGGUGGUAUGAGAUCUGUGUGUUUUCCUUUUCUAGGGGAGUCUGUCCGCCAACGCUAUUAAGCAUACAGAUGUUGGCUAGCCAGGUCCUGACGAGCUCUUCAAAACUAUACCCACAUGAAUACGUUUUGAUGAUUUUUCUUUCUUUCAGAAAGCAACUUGGACGCUAGAUGAGACAACUUUAGUGCUAAACAGAAGCAACUCCACUCCAAUUUAAAGUAACUAAGUACCAACAAUGAGCAACUAACUAGUAAUAGAGAAUAACCUUGAACAUAGGUAGACAACAUCAUAUCACCUUUAUGAGCAACUUUCUUUCUACGAGAGACAACUUUAGUGCAAAAAAUAGGCAACUUCACUACACUUUCUCCUAAUUAAUUUUCUCUAACAUUCUCCUAACUUCCUCACAGGUACUUCUAAGUUGCAUAUUCUCCUAACUUCCUUACUGGUACUUCUAAGUUGCAUAUUGUUGAUUCUAAACUGCCUAUAAUACUAUGAAGUCAUCUACCAUUGAUACUCUUGUAUCUGCUAUUGCUAACUACGAUAGGCAACUUGGUGCUCAAUUUUGGCAACUUUUAGAGUGUUUGCAUGCAACUUAGAAAAACAAUGGUAAACCACUUCACAAUAUUGUAGGCAACUAUUUUUGCAAAGUUAGGCAACCGAGAAGCAAUGAUAGACAACUAAUUACCAAUAGUAGGAAACUAGGCAUCAAUUGGUAGGCAAUUUACAAUAUUUAUAGGCAACUGCACAUCAAUUGUAGGCAACUAACUAUCAAACAAUAGGCAAAUGAGCAACCAUGCAUGAUAGGCAAGUUGGGAUAAUGUUAGUAAAAUUCACAGGUACACAUAGUGUAGUGAAGUUGUUUUGUAUGAAGCACUAAAGGAGCGUUAUGUUUUGUCUGAUUUUUCUUGUUUUUACGCCAACAAACCUAAUAGGAAGUCCUACUAGGCCAAAGAGAAGAAGUUGUUUCUCUAUAGCACGAUAGUUGCCUCCUUCACACCCAAAGUUGCCCUAAAAAAGUAUCCAGUUGCCCACAGUCAACCAUACAAUUGCCUAAAACAAAGUAUCCAGUUGCCCACAAUCAACAAAUAGUUUGCCUAAAACCAUGUAUCCAGUUGCCCAAUCCUCACGAACAGAAAUAUUUUAUCAAGACCAUUUUUUGAUAAAUAUCUAAAUGUUUUAGAUACCUGUAAUUAAGUUUGGGUCAUAGAGGGGGAGUCAAGAUUUUCUCCUCCUCGAGUGGGAUCCCUUGGUGCGACCGUAGAGGGGAGCGGGUGGAACAUACCUAUAUAUGUUGUCUCUACUAGUUGUUUUUGUGGUUCUUUUUUUUUUGCACAAGGGUUGCAUGAUGUUACUGCAAGGAGCUUAUGGGGCAGCAACCCCUCUUUUAAUGCAUGACACUAGUUGCUUCAAAUUUUGUAAGAGUUGUCUGAAAUCAUAGGAAAGUUGUUGCAUGUUUUUUACUUUUGCAUAGGGGAUGCAUGCUAUUUUUUACUGCAAGGAACUCAUAUGGGGCAGCAGACCUUUUUUUACAUGCCUGAUAGUAGUUGAACUCAUUGGAUGGCUAAAAGUGUCUAGAGAGGUCGAUUCCGAUAUUUGGGGCGUUUUGGUGAUCCACGUUGGAGUUGUCUUUAUAUUAGGCGAUUUAGAGGUGAAACUAGUCAAUUGAUAGUCAUGGUUACCGACUUAAAAGGAUCCUCCGUUGAUAGGUAGUCAUACUAGGAAAAAGGAGUUGCUUUUCUAUAACACUAAAGUUGCCUCUGUAGCACACUAAGUUGCUCGGAAAAAAAAGUUCUUCGAAACCUACUCAUAUGGGAUCUAGUUUUGAAGAACUCGUCGCGAGAAACCCACCGGUGAAAACGGAUUUGAAUUUUGACAUUCUAAUCAAAAGUUACAAGUUUUUGAAGUUUUUGAUCCCCUAAUAUAUCCACUCAAAUGUUAUUUCCAAAAGCAUUUUUAAUUGCUCAUUUUGUUUUUUUGCCUUGACAUCCACGAAUGUGAUUUUAUGCUGAAACUUGCAAGCACUUAAUUUUUUUUGUCAAAGUUCAUCAUACAAAAAAAUCGUUUUUUAUUUUGUUUUUUCAUUUCACUAUUCAUCACGAGCUCCGUACCGUGGAGCUUCUUCUCCUGCGCGCCGCUGCGCUCUUGUACGCCGCCAUGCUCCACAUCGGCAUGCUCGGCCCUGCAGGACAGAGCCUUGCUCCGCCUAGCUGACGCACUUGUGCACUGCUGGUCUGUUGCGUCGUGCGUGCUAGUAGAAGUUGAGAGGGAGGGUUUGAGUGGAUAUAUGGAGCUUAGCUGCCGCUGGCCUUUGGCAUUGCCUACUACAAUGAUGCACAGUGGUAACUGAAUCACAACGAGCCGUCCAAAAGAACCCCAGCCCCCGCGUCGUCUCUCCAGGAGGCGACUCGGGCGGAUCCCCGCGCCGCCUCCGGUACCAACCCCUCCUGCCCAUCCCUCCCUCGCCGACGCCGGCGCACAUCAACAGGCAAAGCCCACCGGCGGCUGGCGGCGGCGGGACCUUUCUUCUCGCACAUGUUGGUUGCCGUCUCGUCCAGAUCUCGCGUUGGCUGAUGCGUGUGGAGGUUGGGGCGUCAGCUCUUGGCCUGCUGCUGCCCGAUUUGGGUUUGUGGCGGCCUCCUCUAUGCAUGGCCCAGCGGGGCUCCCGGUGGUUCCAUGCCGAUCCGCGAGUUGAGGCUGCAGCUGACAACGCGUUGUGCGACAAGGGAGGGAUGGGCAGCAGUUUGAGGCAUGUCAUCUCCGAUGCGUCUUUGGCUUGGCUGCAACCAUCGUCAGGGGUUUGAUUUCGGAGGUUCUCUUAUUUAGACCUAACUGGCGGCAUCGGCCAAUCACUCGAGCUGCGAAUUGUGGUGAGCACUAAAGGAUUUUCAGGAGGAUUUCUCUCUUCAGAUCCUGGUCAUCUUCCCUUGGACACCUUAUUUGAAUUGGGGCCGGUCGUGUACGCCCGCAAUAUCAGCAUAACUAGCUUCACUAGGGUAUCAUGAAGCUAUGUUUUUGUUGAUACCUUGGAACAUGUCUGCAUCAAGAUUUACAAGGGAACAACACAUGCGGAGAAUACCAUGGCGUGAUUGGAGGACCUGCAAGCGGCGAUGGCGGGGUCUUGGAGGCGAUGAAGACUUUGCUUCACAGGUAGUUGUUCAGACUUGGCUUGCGGGAUAUGUUCCCGUCCAGACCAGGCACGAGUUCCUGUGAGCCUGGUGGUAAGUGACUUGUAGUAGCCUCUGCAAGUAGGGCGGUAGCCUUGGAGGACUUUUUUGUUGGUGGUGCUCCUUUGAGUAUCAAGUCGUUAUCUCCAGGGUGAAAACCCAAGGUCUGGCCUUUAUUGGUUGCGCCUGGGAGUGAUCUUGUUGAAGGCAUUGUUUUUGGGAACGCGGUCUUUCUCCAGAGUGAAAACCUACGAUCUUUGAUCAGGCAAUGACAACACUUGUGCAUUGUUUCCUUCUUGCAGGCGUUGCUUUUGGAGAACCUUCUUUGUAGUUUAGGUGCUGUCUUCGGUGGUGGUUAGAGUGGUACUACUGCGGGUGAUUGAUCACCGUGGCAGGGUCUUUUUUUCUCUCUUUUUAUUUUGUUUUUUGACUAUGUGCAUCCUGAAUGUUUUUAGGCAUCUUCUUGAUGCAGAGGCUAGGUGUAAUUGGUAUCUGCUUGAUAUUAAUAUAUUCCACUUUUCAAAAAAAAGGCUAUGGCUGUGGGAUGAGUAAGUCGAGGAGAUAAAGGUAUUAAUGAUGAGUUGUUUAACAAAGAGAUAGGAGAAUGAGAAGGGGUGGUGGAGUAAAUAAGUUACAGUGGUGAUUGGUCAAUUUUCCUUGCAAUUUUAGAGAAAGGGAAUUUUACGAGGAGAAUAUUGAAAUAUUGGGUUGGGUUUGGGUAUGUCUGCGUGUACAAAAUUAUAUACAUGCCCUAUCCAUGGAUACAAAAACGUAUACAAACCCUGCUCAUUCAGCUAAGGUACCCGCGGGUAUCCAUGUCCAUGGAUAAAAUUGCCAUCCUUAUUGAGCCAUGCUCAACAAUGCUUGUGGUGGUAAGAUCAAGGCCAUAGCGGUGCAGUGAUGGCUCAUGUUGUAUUUUCUGAGGAUAGGUGGCCAUGCCUAGAUUUACCACGACAUUCACUUGCAAAGGCAUGGGAUCACUGGAGCGUCCCCAGUGUAGGAUUUUGGCAGUACCAUCCUUAUAUGUGUCCAACAUGACAACAUGUGGUUUAUAUUCAUAUAACGAUAAACUGAUUCAUAUAACUUAAUAACUCUCUUUCUGGUAGAGUACACAUAUAAUCAUUGUUUCGUUAGCCUUUUGUACACCAACCUAAAUUGAUACUCUAGUGCACGAUUUGUUUGUGAGUACAACCUUGUGAAGAGUGCAUAUGAACAUAGGUUCACAAAAUCUGCUUUAAUGGUGUCCACAUUCCCCCAUAGAUGUUGCCUAUGAUUUUGAAAAAGGAGACGAUUUUCUUCUCAAUAAAUGAUUGUUGACUCCAGAAAAAUAACGAAUGGUCCCUUCCUAAGACAAAGCUUUUAUCCCCUGUUGUCAGUUCGCAUUCCUUCCUCACUCUGCUCCUUAAUCUUAAUCACUACAGGUUUUUUGAUCACAUAAAGAGAACAUAUGCCCUUAUGCCCAUGUCGAUCUAGUCUUACCAUGUUUUCAUUGGUCACCCUUUGAUUUUACUUUUUUUGUCAUAGUUUUGCUAAUUUUCAGUUGCAACUUUUCUUGACAAAAUAAUCAAAAGAAAGGGUACAUACUUUAUGCAAAAUUUCCAUUAUUGAAAAUGUGCAAUUCUAACUAAAUCGAAUAGUAACUUCUAGUUCGCAGGUUAUAUAUGAAGUGAAAUUGAGAUGUUCAUAGAUGUACUACGGCAAUAAUCAUACAAACUUCAAAAUGAUAUGUACUAAUGCAAUAAUCAGACAACUUCAAAAUAGAGAAACUUUAAAACAGGCAAGCUGUGUCUUUCCGAGAAGAGUUCGGCUUUAUUUGCUGGUAUAUGGCACUCAAUUUUGUUCCAACAAAACUGAAAUGACAGGCCCCUGUACAUUAUUUUGCUAAAAGAUAUUAUCACAAAGAACACUUCACAAAUCUGCAAUUGCUACAAAACAAAUGAUCUUUAAUUACAAGUUGUAAUUGAUUGAAAGGAUUACACAUGUGGAAAGUACAUAAAUACUUCUGAAGAAUGAUGAACACUCCAUUUAUAUUUAUAGGCAGUAGAAGAUUUCAUGAGCAAUGCUCUUGGAGAAAACUAUGAGCGACAGAUGCCUCUAAGACAAGCCGCCAUCCAUAUAUACGCACAUUCCGUAAUCUAGAACCGGUACCCUUCCUAUGAGCAGCAUGGUGGGCAGAAUAACAUUGGGGGUUUACGCGGGUCGUCUGUUACAAUUUGGAUAAAUCAUGAUACGAACGAAUAAAAAUUGAAGUAGUCAGACUGCAAGCUGGUUUAGAAAACUGUCUUAUAAGGUUAAAAACUUGUACAACAUGAAUACUUACGGACUCCGGUGCAGUGUGAGUCGCGCGAGGAUGAAAGUCGGCAGAAGCAGAUCACAAAGAAGAGGAUGGUAAGCAGCCGAAUCAGAUGGCGAGUGUUGGGUAACAUUAUUGUUUCUGAAUCGGGGUGACUUUGCGAGGGCAGAAGCCUAGCUAGUUAGCACCGAGAUGGAACCAACAAUUGGCCGGCAUACUGGACAACAACAAUUGAAGUUUAUAAGCUCAAGUGUGAACUUAAUUUUUCCACUCAGAUUUUUCUUUUCUGUUUUAAAAUGGCAAUUUGUGGAACUGGGAAACUUGCGCCAAGAGAUGAAUGAUGCAUAUCCACUUGUAGCACAGAACGUUUUGACCAGGAAUUUGUGCAACCGGGAAACUUGAAAAGUACGGCACAGAACGUUUUGACCAGAAAUUUGUGCAACUGGGAGACUUGAAAAGUACGGCAGCGUACAACCAUGAGCAGAAUUAACAGUGAGUCAAAGUCUCUGUAUGACCACCAUGUCACAUGUUUGAAUGGAAAUAGUAGUCCAUUGAUGUCUUGACUAGCUUUUUUUUCCGAUAAAAGGUGUUUUUAUUUAUUCAUAAUGAAGCAUCAAGGGCAUACAAACAUAAUGAACACACUCGGCCUCUGCAUAACCAAGAUGCACACAUCCAACACCAACGCUCAUACGCAGAAAAUCAUGCCGGCAGAGAGCAAAGUCGUAGAAGACCAAAGCUAUGCCAGGCAGAGAAAAAAAAGACCUGAAGCGACCAAACCAACGAUCGACGAAAUACAAUGACGACCAUCGGCACCACCUAUCAAAUGACAACACAAGGACUACGAUAAAAUUUCUCCAAUAGCAAUUCCUCCAGGAAGGGAACGACAUGCAAAUGCCGCCAUCGCCAGAUCCAACCACUGUCGGAUCGUGGGUUUUCACCCUGAAGAUAGUCUGAGCAAACUCCGAGCAAUGCCUCAACAGGGUAACGACGCAAAAAACGUCGAUGUCUUGACUAGCUACUGAUAUCAUUGAAGUGCAGAGGGCUCCUAGGGUUUGGGCACUGCCCUAGUCACCCUUGAGGGGGCACCCGAUUAUUCUUUGGCGUAUGUUACCGGGAUAAAAUGCUAGGAAAGUAACUGAGAAGUAGUAAAAAAAUGACCAAAGAACUUUCAUUUGGUUGUGUGCAUCCUUAAUAAACUCUUGAUAUCAGUUAGGUGCAGAGGAUAGGUGUAAUUGGUAUCUUCUUGAUAUUGUUAAUAUAUUCUUCUUAUCCAAAAAAAAUUACACAAGCAUCAGGGUCUUUCAGAGCAGAGUUCAAUUCAGCUUUAUUUGCUGUUACAUGCCACUCGUCUCUGCCUAUAAAACUGAAAUGACAGGCUACUGUAUAUUCUUUCGUCGAAAAGUAUUAUCCCAAAUGAAGAAAAUUCUACAAAUCUGUAAUUUCUGGAAGUAAUGAUCAUUUUAAAAACUUGAGUUUUAAUCUCGAUAAAAUAGAUUGCUAUUGCAGAAAGUAAAAAGUUGCUGUCGAGGGAUGACACUCCAUUUAUAGGUACGCAGAGGACUUACAUAUUCGCAUGCUCCAUUGUGUAGAAUCAGUGCCCGUCCUAUAAUCCUAUCUGCAGGACGUUGGGCAGCAUGGACUGUGUGUCCCUCGGGGGCGGUUCGAGCCGUCUGUUGCAAUGUGGAAAUCUCAGGUGACGAACGAACAAAAAAUGUAAAAUAGAAGAGCAGAAUAUUGUGUUAUAUAUAACUGUACUGUCACUAGACAAGAACCACCUAUACUGCGACUGCGAGUUGGUUCAGAAAGUUGUACUAGAAGCUCAAAACCUUAUACAACAUGAGUACUUAUAUCCACUUGUAGCACAUGUUUUGACCGGGAAUUUGUGGUAUCGGGAAACUUGAAAAGGACGGCAGCAUACGACCAUGGCCAGAACUCUGAGUGAAAGUCUCUAUAUGCACGUUGUUAGAAGUAUAUACGUCUAGUUAGAGAUAAGGAGAGAUAGGGAUAGAAUUAGUUUAAACAUACAAUGCCUUGUGUCUGCAUAUCCACUUGUGAUUGGACGUUUUGACCAGGAAUUUGUGCAACAGCAUGCGAAACUUGAAAAGGACAGCAGCAUACGACCAACACUGAGUCAAAGUCUUUGUAUCACGUCUCACAAGUUUGAAUGGCUCAUAGAAAUAGCAGUACAUAUUGCAUUUCAUAAUUCAUAUGCAUAUCUACAUCACUCAUUGAAGCUUAGCCGCCGAACCCAUCAGCCAUCUACAAAUGCAGUAGAGAAACCAUAUCUCAAACCCAUCAGCCUUCUACAAAUCCAGUAGAGAAACCAUAUCUCAACGCACGAACUAGAGCUGUAGUCCGUAGAGCACAAGUCCUCAUGUCUCCUGUGCAGUCACUGCCUCUGAUAAUCCUUGUCCUAUCCUCUCUGCUGACAUGUUCAGUACUAGGUGCCACAGCUCUCCACCAUGAUGCUAGCACUGACUUCCAAGCUCUCCGAUGCCUUAAACUGCAUCUUAGUGUUUCAAAUCGACUCCUAACCUCAUGGAAGAUCGAUGAUUCCCUCCAACAGUUUUGCAAUUGGUCUGGUGUUACUUGCAGUAAGAGGCACACAUCUCGUGUUGUUGCACUGGACCUCGAGUCGCUCCAACUUGAUGGCCAAAUACCUCCUUGCAUUGCAAAUUUCACUCUCCUCACAAGAAUCCACCUCCCAAACAAUCAACUUAGGGGUCCAAUCCCAGCUGAAAUUGGCCAACUGAAUAGGUUGCGAUAUCUUAACCUCAGCUCAAACAAUAUUAGUGGCAUGAUCCCAAGCAAUCUAGCCACAUGUUCUCAACUUCAAGUCAUUGAUCUUGGGAGCAACUUCAUCAAUGGCGAGAUCCCACCAAACCUUAGCCAAUGUUCAGAUAUGCAGCAACUCAACUUGGAUGACAACGAGCUCGCUGGAGGCAUCCCAGAAGGGUUGGGGACACUACGCAACCUUUCAGUUUUGCAACUUGCUGGAAAUACUCUGACAGGCAAUAUACCUCUUUCACUUGGAACCAGUUCUUCCCUUCAUUCUGUUAAACUCACUGACAAUAGCCUCACAGGACCAAUCCCAUCUCUCCUAGCUAAUUGUUCAUCACUUCAAUUUUUGGUCUUAACAAAAAAUCAGCUUGGUGGAGAGAUUCCACCGGCCCUAUUUAACAGCACAUCACUCCAAAUCUUGUCCCUGGGACUAAACAACUUUAUUGGGUCCAUACCUGCUAUUUUCCCGAAUGUUGCUGACUCACCCUUGAAACGUAUUGUCUUGGCAUCAAAUAAUCUUACAGGCACAAUACCUUCUUCUCUAGGGAAUUUUUCUAACCUUUCGUGGCUCUUGCUUUCACAGAACAAUUUUCAAGGUAGCAUCCCAGUGAGUAUUGGUAAGCUUCCCAACCUGCAAUCACUAGACCUUACUUACAAUUUCUUGCCAGGGAGUGUCCCGGCCUCUAUUUACAACAUAUCAACACUGACAUACCUUGGCAUGGGUGCAAAUAUUUUGUCAGGGAAAAUUCCAUAUAACAUUGGAUAUACCCUUCCAAGCAUCCAAACUUUGAUUAUGGGAGUGAACAAAUUUCAUGGCCAAAUCCCCACUUCACUAGCCAACACAACGAUUCUUCGGGCAAUUGAUCUCGGUAGCAAUUCGUUCCAUGGUAUUGUGCCUUCUCUUGGGACUCUUCCCAACUUAAUCUACCUGGAUCUCGGUGAAAAUCGUCUGGAAGCAGGAGAUUGGUCUUUCUUAACCUCAUUGACCAAUUGCACCCAGCUGGUGGAAUUAUCCUUGAAUGCAAAUAUCCUUCAAGGAGAUUUGCCGAGUUCCAUUGCAGGACUCUCGAAGAGCUUAGAGGUAUUGUUAUUAAGAGAAAAUAGAAUAUCAGGCACUAUACCAUGGGAGAUACAUCACCUCAGAAACAUCAAAACUCUUUACCUGGGAAAAAAAUUGCUUAGUGGAAGAAUCCCUGAAUCACUUGGAAAUCUUCGAAACUUGUUUGUCCUAAGCUUAUCCCAGAACAAACUUUACGGAAGAAUUCCACUAUCAAUUGGCAAUCUAAGCAUAUUGAGUGAGCUAUAUUUACAGGAAAAUAAUUUGAGUGGCCCGAUCCCAGGAGCUCUAGGAGACUGCAAAAAAUUGGUCAUGCUGAACCUCUCUUGUAAUAGCUUUGAUUAUAGCAUACCAAAGGAGCUCUUUACUCUUUCCUCCCUUGCAGAAGGUUUGGACUUAUCUCAUAACAAACUCUCAGGAGAAAUACCACUGCAGAUUGGUGGCUUGGUCAAUCUCGGCCCAUUGAAUAUAUCCAAUAACCAGUUGUCUGGACAAAUACCCUCUACUCUUGGUCAGUGCGUCCACUUGGAGUCGCUGCACAUGGAGAGGAACAAUUUUCAUGGGAGAAUCCCUCAAUCUUUCAUGAAUUUGAGAGGCGCCAUUGUGAUGGAUCUAUCGCAAAACAACUUGUCUGGUGAAAUCCCUGACUUCUUCGAGUCCUUUAGUUCCAUGAAGCUUCUAAACUUGUCGCUCAAUAACUUCCAGGGACCAGUGCCACCAGGUGGAAUGUUUCAGAAUAAAAGUGAGGUGUUCUUACAAGGAAACAAGAAGUUAUGUGCCAACACCCCAUUGCUAGAGUUGCCACUUUGCAAUGAAAUGAUAUCCAAAAAAAAGAUGUACACCUCCAAGAUUCUGAAGAUAGUAGCAAUUACUGUUAUUUCUUUGGUUAUGUUAUCAUGCUUUGGAGUCAUUAUCUUUAAGAAGAGAAAGAUCAAACAAGCAACACAUCCAUCUGUCAAGGAGUUAAAGAAGUUCACAUAUGUUGAUUUAGUGAAAGCAACGAAUGAUUUUUCUUUAGCCAACUUGGUUGGUUCAGGAAAAUAUGGGUCCGUCUACAAAGGUAGAAUUGAGUCUGAAGAACAUCAUACGGUUGCUAUCAAAGUUUUUAAACUUGAUCAACUUGGAGCAACAACGAGCUUCGUUGCUGAAUGUGAGGCACUAAGAAACACUCGUCAUCGUAAUCUUGUAAGGGUGAUCACCGUAUGCUCAACAAGUGACCCGAUAGGAAAUGAGUUCAAAGCUCUUGUUCUUGAGUUUAUGGUAAAUGGCGACCUAGAGAGUUGGAUCUAUCCAACACUAACCAACGAGCAUCAUCCAAAAAGGCCGUUGUGUAUGGGUUCAAGAGGAUAGCAAUAGCAGUGGACAUAGCUGCUGCUUUGGAUUACCUCCAUAACCAAUGCAUGCCUCCUAUGGUCCACUGUGAUCUGAAGCCUAGCAAUGUCCUUCUGGAUGAUGUCAUGGGCGCAUGUGUCGGUGACUUUGGGUUGGCUAAGUUCCUACAUGGUUAUUCUUCUUCUUCUGGGAUAGAUGGUUCUACUUGUACAAGCUUAGUGGGGCCAAGAGGAUCAGUUGGAUACAUUGCACCAGGUAACGAUUUCUUAUGUGCUCUACUGGAUAUGCAAGUAGUAUAUAUUCCUUUUUUUUCCCAGAAAACCCUUUUGAUUCUUCUGCUCCAAAUAUUUUGUGCUAAUUAAUUGUUUGAAUAUAUAUGUAUUGCAGAAUAUGGCUAUGGAAGCAAAAUCUCGACGGAGGGUGAUGUUUACAGCUAUGGAGUCAUCAUCUUAGAGAUGCUCACAGGGAAGCGUCCAACUGAUGAGUUGUUUAAAGAUGGCCUGAGCCUCUACAAAUUUGUGGAAGAUUCAUUUCCUGAAAAGAUUGGGGAGAUUCUAGAUCCUAGAAUGAUCAUCCCCUAUUAUGGGAACCGAGAUGAAGAAGAAGCAGGCAGUUCUUCAGACCAGGAAAAUCAUCAAAUUGCUGCUGGAAUAAUGGGCUGCAUCACAGCUCUUGCUAAGCUUGGCUUGCUGUGCGCUGCGGAGACGCCUAAAGAUCGCCCAGCAAUGCAGGACGUCUACGCUGAUGCCAUCACAAUCAAAGAAGAAUUUUCAGCACUGCAGGGCUGAGGAGAAGAAGCAUUUCAACUGUAUCGUACCUAUCGAUUGCCCACACGCUGCUGGUCUGGUGCAUGAUGACCUACGACUAGUUUUUCUUUAGAUAAGGCUUUCUUUUUCUUUGUUGAAAGGAUGCUAUGUAUGUUACGAAUCAUAUUCUAUUGCAGUAGCAAAUCUAUAUUUGUACUGAAGGUAAACUAUAAUUCAGCCUAUAUAAAAUAAACUGUACUUCAGGAGCCUGUAUACAAUAAACUGUACUUGAGGAUUCAGGUACAUUUUAUUUUCAACUUGGCUGUUCUUUGCUUACGCCUAACUAUAUACAGUAUGAACUAACAAUGCCCCUGUAAAAAUGUUAAACUUGCACAUCACACUGUUAAACUUGAAAGUUGAAUGAAAAGCAUUCCCUGACAAAAAGUAAGAGGAUUGAAGAACAUACCGGUGAUGGAGAAUAAUAGCGACGCUGCUUCGCCAAGGGAAGCAGCGAUCUCAUAAUACAGCUCCUCGAACAGCCUGCACAACCAAGGGGCAGCACACGGCCCGCCUGGAAGACGAGGAGAAACCAAAGCACACCUACGAACAACCAUCUCCCUGACAUUGCGCCUUCAUUGCUGCCGCUUGAUUGAAGUACGACGUACAGGGCAGUUGAGGAAGGUCCAGAUGGUCGGCCAACAACAGAGACGAGUGCGGCGUGGAGGUCGGAGUCAGAACUGCGCCCCAGGACGGGAGGAGGAAGACAUCCAAAUUCUACAGUAGAGGAGCAGAGCAACGCUGAGAGAAGGCGGGGACGGCGCAAGACCAAAGGUCGAACAGAUGGCGUGCAGCAGCCUGGCCGAAGCAGAGGCAGGCGCUGCAGAAUUCAGAAAGACAUCCAUGGAGGCGCUCCAACUUGUGCAGAGCCCAAAGAACGCUAAGCAGCCGCACCAGAGCAGAGCUGGGAAGGCCGCCGACGGUGAGAGAAGGCGGAGAGCGCGCAAGGCCAAUUGUCGAACGGUCCCUGGGCGAAGCAGAGGACGGCGCUGGCAGGGCAGAUGGGGGUUGCGACAGAGAGGGGGAUUGGGAGCUCGGUACGGCGGCCGGGAAGGAGGAGGAGGAUUAGGAGGCGUGGAGGGGCGAGGGGUGGGCGCUGCGGCCGGCGACGGCCGGCCGGCAUUCCUCAGCCAUUCGCGCCGUCUGCUCACCCUACUCAUCAUGCAUCUUUCUAGUCUUUAAAUUUCAACCUGCUGUACUUGUCAAUUUUUCAGUUUAGAGUAGUAAGUAGUAUUUUUGUUCAAGAUUUCUACAUUUUUGGAUUGAUUUCUCUACUUUCCAUCUGGUGAUAUACACUAGUAGUAUAGGAGUAUGAUUUAGGGACCAUCUUCAAUCAGCUAGAAAAAGAUUCCAAACCAGUCAUUUCACUCUACACCGUUAGAUCGGAAUCCAACGGUUCAUCCUUUUUCUUUAACCUCCGGCGGUUCUUCUCCCACACAACCCUGUACCUCCCGGCUGUGCACACAUCCCCCAUCUUGCCCUGCCCUGCCCUCAUUGUGUUGUCGUCGCCCUCGGCCAUCCUACUCUACAGCCAUGAUUUCGUCGCCCACACUCGAACCCAUCGAAGCACCGACUCGACACGUUGAUCAUGCCAUGGCCGGCUGCGGCGUCCCAUCUCCUCCUCUGGCGCGCCAAAAACUGUUUUCAGUUGACUGACAAAUAUUAUGGUUGACAGUUAACUAUUUUGUGAUGAAACCUUCAAUCAUGACUCCUCUCUCGUUAUCAGUCACAUACCCAAAAAUAUAAUAUUUUCGUAAACAGUGUUAAGCUUACUCAUCUACUCCCUCCGUCCCAUAAUAUAAGAGCGUUUUAUAUUAUGGGACGAAGGGAGGAGUACUUAAAAGGAAGGCAAAAUGGCCCGAGAGGAAUUUGUUCUGUAGUACAAACAUAAGAUGAGCGCUCAUCAUCAGAUUUUUACUAGCAACCUUUUUUUCAAGUUGCAAUGCUAUUUGAUGAUUUAAAUCUACAAAGGUUGUGCCAGUUCUUUGGUGCGGCUUAAAAAUUAAGUUGUCUUUCCCCAGCUUAAAAAAUAAGCCCCUCCUAAAAUUUGUUGAGCCUUCUAAAUUAGUUAUCCCAUAACUAAUUCAGAAGCCUCAUUGCUUAUUUUUUUUAAGCCGCCAAAAGAACUUGGAAGCUAUAGCAUCAAAUUCAGCACGAAACAUGGUAUGAUUGGGAGAUUAUAUGUUUUUGAGGUUCCCUGAUUCCCAGGAUCUCACCCAAACUUGCUUCACAUAUACUUGAUGCAGCAUCUGUUGCCAGGAAACCUGACACAAUCCCUAAUGAAAACACUGCAACAAAGGAGCUCAUUUUUUUGCUUCACUUUACGAACACCUCACGAUAAACUCGGCCAAAGUUGAUUAAGUUUACACAUGUUUCUCCAUAAAUCUGGUCAAACUUAAAUAAGUUUGACUAAAGACGAGAUAAAUGAGCCCCGUAAACCCGGACAGAGAGCAGUGAUCAGACAGGAUCAUAUAUACCUAUACGCCAGGACUGAUGCAUCUAAAACCAAGUUUACCAUUACUUUCACUACCAUAACCACCAAGGCAAAGCUCAAAAACAUCAUCCCUAUGCUGUCUUGUAUACCUGUAAUGUACAUCCAUAAGCGCCGAAAAUAAAUCCACACAAUCACUAGAACCACAAAAAAAAAUCCAGAACAAAACAAGAAUAAAAUCUAUGCAAUUCUCUCUCCCUCACCGACUCACUCUUCAGGCAACCAAUUGCCUUAUGUUACAGUUACACGCCGCCCUCGAUGUAUUCACAAGCCACGCCGUCUCUUUCGCGCACAACGAAGAAGAGUUCUGAUCAAGCUUCGACUCGCCAUAAUCAACAUCCCGGUAGCGACUGCCCCGACGACGCCAUGGCGGACAGGCUCGCGUCCGAGUCGCCGCAGUGCCUCAGGUACGACUGCCGGAAGGACUGGGCCGACGACGCGCCCGCCAGGUUUAGGCUCGCGUCCGAGUCGCCGCCAUGGCGCAGCAGCUGGGACUGUUGCUGCUGUGGUGACUGAGGGGCCAUGGUGGACAGGCUCGGCCCCGACUCCCCACAGUGCCUCAGGUACGCCGAAGACCGGUGCUGGCUGGAUGAGCCCAGGUAGUAGCCCGACGAUGAUCCAUAUCCCGAAUUGGAGAUGUAUGAAGAACCGGCGUGCGGGCUGGGCGACGCGUAGCCAGAAUUGUACAUCUGCGGUGGGGCACAAGCAUAACUUAUGUUGACUGGUGGAGACAGGUGGUUGCCGACCAAGGAGUGUGUGGAGCCUCCGCGGAGGAGGGAGGUGCGGAGGUAGGGCGAAGACAUGUUUGCGAGGUCUGCGCUGCUUCUGCUUAUGCUCAUGGCCGAUGAGUUUCUGAAAGGCCUUUGGGUGUUGAGAGAGUGCGGGGUACCGGAAGCAGAGUAGACCCGAGAUAUGGACUGCGACGAAGGACGCCGGCUUAUUGGUCUGGGAGGGGAUGCUCCCAUGCUCGACCGGAAUGAGG
rnacentral:lncRNA from 1 species